rnacentral:lncRNA from 1 species
ACCCACACUCUCUAAUUUUAUUUUAAUUUGAAAAUAAGAGAAAAUGAGCGAUUCAAUCGAACCGUCUACGUCGUCGCGGGAAGAUCCGGACCUGGCACCGAGUCCGAAUCCGAAUUCCAUAAUCCACCCGCGGCGGGAGCCUUUCGAGCACGGCCUGCUACCAAUCCCCAAGCUCAUCCUCAGCGACCCGAUCCAAACCCUAAUCCCGCUCAAGCUGAAGCUCGCCCCGACCGGCCGAGUGAACUCGGAAACCCUCGCUGAGUCGCUCCAGAUCUCCAUCGACCACGCCCAGCUUGUUCUCGAUACCCUUGGGUCAGUGCUCCACGCUGACGCCGACCCGAUCGUCAAGGCUCGGCCCGCUGAGAUUGACUCGGUCGGUGCCGAUUUGAGGGAUCUGAUACUGUUCUUGUACAUACAGUCUUAUAAGAGGUUAUUGCCCAGGACGCACAAGGACUCUGCCUCGGUCGCUGACGUGUGGCCCUCCACGUCUGCCUUUGAUGGGUACUUAUCGGCUUUGUCGCCGCUUCAGGUUAAUUUUUUUCUUUAUCGCCGUGUUCAUUUGUGCAAUGUACAAUAUUUCUUAGAAUUAUUGUGUCAUUUUUAUUGAAUUGCUAGCGAUUUAUUGGGUUUUCAGAUGGGAUUGUACUUGUCGAAUAAUUAAUUAGGGAAUUGAAUUACAUUUGAUCGAACCUUAGCUGUUCUUGGACCGAUUUUCUCGUGCAUUUUCUUUUUUCUUUUUUAUAAAAUGUUUCCAAGAAUAUGAUCCUGUAGUUGCAUUUGAUACUAAUUUGGGAUGUUGAUGUGCUUGUUGGUUGGGAAUGGUGUAGAUUUGAGACUCUGUAUAAUUCCUUUGUUUGCUGCUUUUAGUGGUGGUUGACAUUUGCAAAGGAGCUCAGAGUUUCAGAAUGUUUGUUGGCAAUGUUUGAAGUACUUAAGCAAGUUAGCAUUUUAGCUUUAUGAGAUGCGUGGCAUAGUAGGUAUUGUAUUAUAAGUCUACUGAGUGAUAUUUAUGAAGGAGAAAUGAUCCUAGCAAGCAUUGUAUCAUAGUUUACUGCUUAUAAGAUUGAAUUCAAAUCACACUGUUUAUAAGCAAUGUGUUAUAGUCUUUACUUGCAGAUGUUUAAGGAUGAAUCGGUGAGGAUAGUAGCUUACACAAUUGAAUUUUACUCUCUACCCAGACGUUGCCUUUUUUUUUUUUUCCUGUAAUUGAACUUCCAAGGAGUGUGAAUUUGAUUAUGUAUCAGCAUUUUAUGAUCUUUAGGGAAAUUUUCGUAUCAAAAGAAAAUUGGAGAAGGUAUUAUCAUUAUAGGACAAAUAGGCCUCUCUUUGGGCAUCUGUGUCCUCAGAAUUUAAAGAGCAGGAUUGUUAUGGGGCAGUGACUUGACAUAUCGAUAUAUCUGUAACCAUUUUUGUCAUUUAGAGAUUUGGGUGGGGUUUUCUUUUCUUUUCUAUUAUUUAUUUAUUUUUGAAAGUCUAUAAAACUUUUUUUUAAUUCUAUAUGAUAUUCAUAUUUUCCGGCCUUUUGUCCUUGUUUAUUCCCUUGAUUUUUGAGUUGACUCCCUUGUAAAUCUUUCUCUUUUAAUUUAUGAACCUAUAUUUGUUUUCUUAAAAGUAAUUAUAUUUUCACUUCAUAUGUUGCUACUGUGAACUUUGAAUUGGGAGUCUGUGAUUUUUAAGCCUGGUGUUGACAUUGCAGCUUGUGCGGAGCAACAGCCGUCGGUUCAUGCCAUCACAAUCUGACGAAGAGGCUCAUCAAUUAUCCUAUCUGCAAAAGCACAUGGCUAACAUUCUCCAGCUUUUGGCAGAGCCUGCUGAGGGGGAAGGCGAGGAGUCUUUGGUAUGCCUUUUACUGUUUAGUCCCUUCAGUUUGGUGGAGGUUAUACUUCGGAGUUUUCUAAUAUUGGGCUAGGUUUUUAUAUGGUUAAAACCAAAUGGAACCCCCUCUGUGUAAUUUCUGAUGCUCUUAUUUAGCCAUGGCCUUUUUUGUUUAUGCAUAUGCAGUCAUAGAAAUUAGUCCUUUAAUCGAUUGUAAAUGAAUAGUCAAGACGGUAGCAUGUUCUCUCCAUACUUAGUUUUAAGCUUGGAUGUAGUCUUUAACAAUAUUAGUGUCAUAGACAAUAUCAGGAUGCGUGUUUCCUGUAAUAGGAAACAUUAGUAUCUCCAUAUAUAUAUUGAUAAUCAAAAUGGAAACGUAAAAUGCAAUUUAGUUUAACUGCUGGCAACCCUAUCUUUCUUUUUUACUUUUUGCUCUCUCUCUCUCUUUAAAGUUUAAACUUUCUUUUUUGCUUUACUCUCUUUCUCGCUUUUAAAGUUUAAAUUCUUUGGGCAGUAGGCAUUUCCCUUGGUAGAGUUGGUAAUGGAGAUACUAACAUAUCUAGACUUUAAUCUGAAGAUAAUCAUGUACUCUUUGGCCUUCCAAAUCCUAGCAAAAGUUUUUGAAUUCUGAGAAUGUUCUAAGAAAAGAUUUACAAUACUGACUUAAUGAGUAAGUUUUAGCAGAAAAUUUAAUGAAUUUUAUCUGUGAUUAAAAAUCUUUCCUAAAUAAUAUCCUUGUUUAAAUCUUUUCAACUAAAUGUUUGGCGUUUAGCAUGUCGAGUGCUCUAAAUGCCUCUUGGAUCCCUAAAUCAUUCAAAAGCUAUUCCUCUCCCCCUGUGUGUGUGUAUCAAAUGUAGAUUUGUUUUUACCCCUAAUUACCAUUUAAUGUUCUUUUUGUCUCUUUAUAACCUAUGAAUAUAGUCACAUUUUCUUGUUAGUCAAGUUUUUUUUUUUUUGAACACGGUCUGUCGGAUUUGACCUUAUGACCUUGUGCAUUUUUAUCCCAACAGAAAAAAUAUAACAUCGGAGAAAUUGUUUUUUGACCCAAACAGUUCUAGCGUGUGUAUGCUAUCAUACAUCCUAAAAGAAAAGAUUAUAUUUGUCAGAAUUGAAUUGAUCUGGAAAAAUAAAAAUAAAAAGAAUCUUGCACUGCUGCUGCUCUUAGCGGUAAUUGGUAGCGAUGGUAGGAUUUGAACCAGUAAAGUUUUGUAACCAAAUAAAAUGCACUACCAAGCUGUGCUACAUCCCUUUCAAUUGGUCUACGGUACCAUCAUUUCUUAAUCUUAUCAUGACAACAGAGUACAAUCAUCAUGUAAUACUAUGUUAAAUGCAAAGUGGAUAUACAAUGGUAGGUUGACAUUAUUGUGUUCUAAUUUGUCUAGGAUUCAUAUUUAGCUCUAAAAUUUUUCAAAAUCCAUUUGAUCCUUUCUCAAACACCCCCUCUCCUUUUAUCAAAAGAUUAAAUGAAGCAUCUUUUUAAAAAUAUAUAUAUAUAUGAAUUGCUUAUCCAAAACGUGGCAUGUCUUUACUUUGUUGCUUCACUUGCUUUUGUUCUUGUGAUACUGCCUCCUUCUUGUAUUCUGUGUUCAAGGGGGUUAUAUGAUUUAUGUUUUAAACUGUUUUUUUUUUUAACAUUAUUCAUUUUUCUUUCACUUUGUAGCCAUCUGCAGUUAUAUUUGAACUAUCUUUUCUUAUUAAGAUAAAUAUGAAUUGGACAAGGCUCAAUGAUGCAUGCAUUUCAGCGUGCAUGCUGUAUAGGUGUAGAAUGCCUGACUUGAAUUUUCUUCUUUGUAAGGCAUGAAGGGCCUUUCGUAUUAAGUUGGCUGUUAGGUUUUUCAUCAGUAGUGGGCUCAUUUGUGGCUAUAUUUCUAUGACAAUCUGUGGAUGAUAUCGGUUUUGGUUGUGAACUGAGAUACUUGAAUCAUGAUUUGACUAUGAUAAAGUUCCCCGCCUGAUACACUUUCACAGAGAUAAUGUUUGUUGGCAUAAAUUGAUUUAAACCCUAGUAAAUAUAUGGAAAUUUGAUUAUUCAUCUAAACAUAGUUUCAUUUUUGUGCUUCUUUGUACCAAAGUAGCUUCAUAUCAAUUUGCUAGUUCGCCCUGCUGUUUUAGGUCUUGAGCAUGGAAGGAUUUGAGCACCUUGCAUUUCUGAUUCAAUUUGGUGAGAAGGGGUCUGAAGGAAUUCCUUUAAGCCAAGCAGCUCCAUUUUUCGCCAAUUCAGAUCCCGACAUGCCUGCUGUUCCUGUUCCUGCCGCACAAGUUCAUGAUUGGCUUCUUCAGAAUAUAGCUUCUGCAUUGGAACAUCUUACUGAAAGAGUUUCCCCAAGAGAAAAUGGGCCAGCCAAUAACUCUGAUCAGGAUGUGGCGAUGGCUGAUGCCUGCACAAGUUCAAUCAAGUCGUCAACAAGUGCAAAGGGUCCAAGUUUUAUUGAAGGGAUCUCCAAAGCAUCAUAUGUAAAGCAAGCUUCUGAGAUUAAAGGUUCUUCUGUCAAGGUUAGGUUUGAAAAGUAAAUUUGCUAUGUUUGACUGAAAUCUUGGUGAUUACAAGUCUAUUGCCUUUUAAAUUUAUGUUCAUUUUCACUGACUAUUCUGGAAUUACUUUUUCCUUUUAUUUAUUGCUAGCUUGUUGCACUUACAUUCAUUUUUGCAAUAAGGAACAGAAAAGAAAGGUGUACAGUGAUUAGGGUUGUUAGAAGGUGGAAUCCUGGACCAAAUUUACAACAUUUGACCCAAUUAUUGUUUGAUAAUUGAAGUUACAUUUCUUAAAUUAUUAGAUGUUGGUGUUAUCAUUAAUUAGGCGGAUUACUAUAUUUGGGUAUUGAGAUUUGGGCUAGCAUACUCACUAAGCUAUGUUAUCAAUCUACAUUAUUAUGAUGCUUCUUGUAGUCUCUUUAGGACUUAUACGGAUGACCUUCCCAAGUUGGCAAGUGCUUAACUUUUUUCGGGUUAUCAAGUCUCAAACAGAAUAACAGCCAUUGUCAUUUCUGCUAUCGAGUCUAGUCAACAUGUUUUCUUACAUGCUUUCUGCAUUGUCUUAAUGUAUUAAUUUUUUAUAUAGUUUCAUUUUCAAUACGUUUGACGUUAUGUACAUCAUUGCAGGUUAUCAAUUGCCAUGAUUCAGCCAUUUACAUUUUAGCGCCUUUAAGAUAUGCCACAAUAUAUGGAUGCUCAGAUGCCACUAUUAUUCUUGGAGCUGUUGGCAAGGUAGUAACAAGAUAUUCGUUUUGUCCAUUCAAAUAUUGAGUGUUGUGAUGACUUCCUCAUUUACUUUGGCUGAUUAGCAGAUUCCAUCCAUUUAAUCCAUGAUGUUUAACUGACAGAUUGACAACAAUAUUACUCCUGUGAUUAUUUCAAAUCAAUAUGGUUAGGAUACUGGUUCUCUGUAUGUCUUUCUCGUCCCCGCAUACAGUGUCCAUCACUCAUAAUAACUGGUCAUAUCCAAUAUUGCUUGGGUAGAGAAGUAGCUAAUGAUGAGAGUGUGUGGUAGAAUGUUCUGAACUCGUGUGUUCAUGCAUAAUUGCAUUCUUUGUCAUGGUUGAGAUUAUACUGAUUAGCUAGGUUUUUCAGUCCAUUACCCAAGAUAUUCUAAGGUCAUUCCUGCAAAUGCUGCUAGAAAGAGUAUCACAUGCACACCAUUCGAUAAACAAUUUUUUCUAUCAAAGGACAUGAGUGCAGCUUCCAGAUGAUCUCUAUGUAGACGUCAUAGAUGCAUGUAUAAAAUUUGGAAACAUUUUGCCAUUUCAUGGUGCUACAAAUUGAGAACAGGACAUCUGAAACUUUUCUAAUCUUUUGUGUGUUCCUUUUAGGUUGUACUAUUUUCAAAAGAUAGUAUAUACUGGCAUGCAGUCUUUCUUAAACUGCUUGAUAAAGGGUCUUGAGUACUCAUACAUAUUCAUUUCUUUAUUCCUGGUCUGGGUUUUAACAGGAAUAUUCCCAUUGACCUAAAUAAUUAUGUAUACUCUCACCCUGGGAAAUGUCAUUCGUUUUUCACUUGCAGUUUUCUUUCAUAUUUGAGCAUUUACUGUCUUCUUUCUUCUCUGUUAUGUCAAGUAAUCAACCGGAUAAUUGUAGUAUAUGUCUUUAGCUAGCAUCUGAGUUUGACUUUAUGCAUUAUGUUGCCUCUUUUAUCUUGGAUGGAAGGUAAUACUAGUAAAGUAUGAUGUAUGAUUUUGGUUCCUUCUGCAGGCUGUAAGGGUUGAACACUGUGAGCGAGUUCAUGUGAUUACAGCAGCAAGACGAGUCUGCAUUGCCAAUUGUCGCGAGUGCGUCUUCUUUCUGGGAGUAAACCAGAGACCACUCAUUGUGGGUGAUAACCAUAAGCUACAGGUGAGUUGGUCAGUUUUGAUGUUGUGUUCACAAAGUUGGCAGCUAGUUCUUUGUGCUUAUGAAUUUGCUUCCUAUUGAAAUGGACUAUAAUGAUUUUGGGAAAUAAAUGAUAUUGUGUUGUAGAAAAUUAGUUUAGCUUAUUGGUGGAGUUGCUUAGUUCUAGAGUAAGUUGUUUUGGUCUAUUUGCUAUUAUGCCAUCAUGUGCUUGGCAUGAAGAACAGGCAAGACAACUGUACUGCGUGGGCCAUACCGGCCUUUAAUGGAAAUAUUGGACACUAUCUUGUGACGAGCUAACUGUUUUCUUAUUAUAUUUCUGUUACAGCUUAUAUUAAUUAUGUAGUUUUUCCUCUGAAUAGAGGUAGGAUUUCACAUUAGCUAUAGAAUUCUAUGAGCAACAGCCAAUAUGGUAGUCAUUAAUUUUAAGCUUGGCAGCAGGCAGUUUCAUAAAGGAAUUUUAGAAUUUAUAAUGGUCACUUCAUUCUAUUCUAGUUGACACUUUUGUUGGAAUCAUUUAGAACCAAUCUCACUGGACCAAUUCUUUAUAUACCUUCUGACUCUAUUUUCAGUCAUGCUGAAAAAGUUAGAAAUCAAGAAACAACUCUGGCUAAAUGGUUAAGCACAGCCUGGACAUAUUAUUGAUUCACUUGAAAUAUUAGGCAUCUACUGAAGAUAUCAUUUAAGUGAUCUCUGGAGUUCAUCUUAGUUGCAGUGGUAGUUUGGACCCUAAAAUCUGGUGAAGCACUUUACUGAUGGUUUUCAUAGAUUCUGAUUUUCAUGCCUGAUGUGAUAAGAAGACUCACAUUUCUUUUCAUUCUUUGGAUUCUUGUCAGGUGGCACCAUAUAAUACAUUUUACUCUCAGUUGGAGGAGCACAUGGCGGAAGCUGGUAUUGAGGCAACUAUCAACAGAUGGGAUGAACCCUUGGCACUCGGAGCAGUUGAUCCGCAUGACUCAUUAUCUCAUCCGGCAGGUGUCUCUGAUGCUCAAGCUGAGUCAGCUACUCAUGUAGAUCCUGACCAAUUCAUAGAUUUUUUGGUAUGCUAACUUGGGUUUGUUUUAUUCUGUUUCUUCUAUUUAUUUGUUUUCAAAUCACAUAUCACCUAUGACCAUAUCCAUUUACUUCUUGACACAGAUCCCAAACUGGUUUGGAGGUGAAUGUGCUGGGUCAACAAAAGCCAACCCUUUUCCAUUACCAGAUGCUUAUGUAGCAGCUCAGCAGAGAAAAGUAUGUGCACCAACCCAUCUGAUUAUGACCAGAUGAUUUGAUGUCUUUUAAUUCCUGAGUUUUCAUGUUUUUUGUGUUAGUAAGUGAUACUCUAAAAGUUGGUUUCAGGUUCUUUUACUGAUAUUCAUGUUUGCUAUCAUAAAAAAAAAUGUUCUUCAUGUUUGGUUUUCUGAAAUUAUUCUCUCUUUUCCACAGCAAAAGAGCUGGGUGGAGAUAAAGAAGCUUAUCAAGGAGGCACCCCUAGAUGACAACCGGAAACGGGAAGUGUCAAGUGCACUCCAUGUAUACUUCAGAGACUGGCUAUAUGGUAAUCUUCAUAUUCAGCUUUCUGAAUUUUCACUUCUUUCGUAGUUCUUUGCAGUAUGCUCAAUUCACUUCUCAUUCGAUUGGUUGAUGCUUGUACUCUGUGGCUUUGAUACUAGAAAAAAUGGGAAAAAGAUGUGAAAGGCGGACUCCCAUCUUAAAAUUAAUAUUGGAAAGUUGAUUUAAAGGAUUAAUUUUUCUGCAUAUUUCCCUUACCAGCAGCCUAUGCUUUGCUAUGACAUAAUAUAUUUUCAGUUGAUUUUGUUUGCCUGAUUUGAAUGUAGUUACUGAAACUAGGGGUUUGAUACUUCUAUAUCAGAGAGUAUAUGCACCUCGAUUGAUCCCUUUUCCAUUCGUUUAUGUAGAUUUAUCUCUAGAAUAGAUAGGUGAACUACAUACAUAUUUCCUGCAUCAAAAGGAGGGUUAACGAGUCAUAGCUCUCUGCAGUCUUUAUUACAUUCCUAUUGAAGUUUCAAAUAGGCAUUUUUGCACACCUGCCCUAUUCCUGCCCCUUUCUAUUUCAUGUUAACGUAGUACAAAAUAAAAAUUCUGUUCUUAUAAGUGCUUUACUACCUUUUAUAUUGUUGACAUGGUUUUUUACUUGUAUUACGCAUCAUAUGAUUUUCUAUUGUAAUAAUCGUGUGAUUUUCUAUUGUAAUAACAGCUACAGGAAAUAUCCGUCAGCUUUACUGCCUACAAAAUGACUAAUUCUGUAUGAUGAUGCUGUGGACAAUCAAGGAUGUAAGAGAAAGUAGCUUUCCUUCAGGUUCUCUUUUCUGUUUCAACUCCUCCCAAGUUGCUCUAGCAUUCCCUGUCAAGUACUACACGCUGCUGAGAGUCAACCCUAUGUAGUUCGGGGCGGUAUUUAUUAAUGCAUCGACAAUGAUGCACAGAAUGCAAUUAGAAAGACAUUGACUAAUCUCAGUGUAAUAUUUUUUUUUCCCCUUCAAAUGAAAAAUCUUACUGUAAUAUUUUGUUUAUCUAGGUUUGUAGGCAUAUGAAGUUUUCUUUCUUGGUUCCAUCUUUUUGGUCUGGCCUUGUGAAAUUCAAUUACUUGAGUUCAUUAAUUUUUAAGUUUUGCCCAUUUGUUUCUUUCCUCCUGUAAGCAAAGAUUUGAGUUGUCGGAUAGGUUUUGAUUGUUUAUUUACUUAGGGCCCAGCUAAAUUGACUAUCAUUCUGUUGUAAAUUAAUGUAGAUUUUACCCUUAAUUUUUACCAACUCAAUUUCCUACAGACAAGUUAAGGAUCAGAAAAGUAUGAGGUGAACUAAGCACUGUUAUUGGCGACGUAGGUGAGAUGCAAUGUUUCAUACAGAAAAGGAACAAAAAUGGAAGGAAAAAGAAACUAAGAAUUGAGCAAGGAAUUUACAUCUGCCUAAUAUAAAUGUCUACGUAAUAGCAGGAGUUAAAGCUAUCAGAAUAUAGCAUUUGAUGAAGUAAAAAAGAGCAGGCCUAGAAUAUGAAUAUCGAAAUCUUUAUUAAAUCUCUUAUUUUCACUGAUUCUGUGGCUCAACAGUGGCUGUGCGUUCUGAACGCCGCCUCUUUCGCUGUAGUCUGAAGCCAUAAGCUGCAAGUCCGAUUGCUACAGGCAGGAUUGAUAUAGUUAGAAUGACAAAAAGCUUCACUCCAUCUGGUGCAAUGCUUAUUACUGCAGUGUCAUAGGUGAAAUUCAUUGCCAAGAAACACAAUUGAAGCUCAAACUGCAGAGGAAACUUGGUUGUUAGGAUGUUGAUCAUUUGAAGAGACAAUUUAAAGCCCAGAGAGUUGAAAAACAUAUAAAGGCGAAAUGCAAUUGUGUUCGUAGAACCCCAAAUAGACUCCCCUGCAAUGUGUGUUUUGCUGGUGGGUAUGCUAUUGUCUUGCCAUGCACCCCCUGGAGGGUUGACGCCAAACUGGAAGGUUGUUGUUGCCACCAAAGCAGCUACAACCAAUAGUGAACUGCGGGUUUCACCAGGAGAGUCUCUUCCCUUUUUAAAUUUGAAAUACUCCGUCACAUCAUUUUUUGUUCGCAGUGGAUUUGUCUCUGCUGAUGAUGCUGCAGGAUUAUCGGUUGAUGUUUGAUUGUCAUCUCUCAUUCCCGUAGCUCCAGCACUCCGAAGGAUCUCCUCAAUUUCCCUAUCUCCAGCUUCACUCAGGAAAAUCAGCAGCAGGUCAAAUGCAGUGAGACCGCUAUGAUUUAUGGCAUUUACUUCCAACCCCUGUGAAGCAUUGGCUUGAUGGCCAAGUAAGAGUUCUAUUACCUGCAAGUGAAUCCAAGUUUUCAAUUGUUCUUUAUAGUCAGAAGAUAAAUCAUAUGAUACUUGACAUGUAUUUUCUUUCGUAGCAGUUAUAUUUGUUUCUACUCGAGCAGUUAUAUCAAUCAUUUUCUAAGUUUUCAUGACAUGAAGUGUGUCUAACUUGGAAGUCAACUCGUCCUAGGAUAUGAAACACUGAGCCUAGUCAAUAGAUGGAGUUUCCAGCUAACAAAGUUGCUAAAACUAAAAUAAGAUUGGAGCAUGCAAUGAGGAAAUUUUUUUAGUGACCAGUUUUUUUAUUCGCCAGUUUCUGUAGACACCAUCAUUUUGAACUUCACUGGUGGUUGGUCGACAUGAUACCGCAGAAACACAGGAUUGAACUGAGUUUAGCACUUGCAGGGGGAUAAAUUUAAAAUAGAGGAAAGUUUAAGCUCUUAGGAAACACAUUUUUCCCUUUUAUUUUAUGACCAUUUUGAAUCCACGCUAAUCAAUUCUCUAAACAACUGUACAAAACUGUAAGGAUCUUAUAACAGAUUUUGAUUUUAUUGGCAGGUCAGAUAUGACUGUUUUAACUGCAUAGUGACGUACAGUUCAAAUUUGUAAUUGAAGCAAAUUAGGAACCUUAUUGCAGAUACAUGGUUCUCUAGAUUCAAGAGAUAUCCAGGCUAAUGAAGCUUAAUAAGACAUGAGCUUUCAGUGGCCUCACAGUCUAAACUCAAACACUGCUUUAUAAUGAUCUGAAAGCAAUAGAAACAAGAACUAACUUGAUUGAAAAUUAUUGAAUACGGGAUUAAAUAUAAGAUUGGACUUGCCUGGCGUUGUUUCUUCAAGGUGGCUAGGUGCAGCACUGUAUUUCCUUGCUCAUCCCUCAUAUUGAAAAUAUGUUCCUUCUUCAUCUCUCUAAUCCAAUCCACAAUAAUUGCAAUCACUCCAUACUGGCUGUUCUUAAUAGCAAGGUGCAAAGCAGUAUCAUGCUGAAUGGUCACGUCUUCGACACAUUCUGGACAAGCUGAAAGCAUUUCGGCUACAGCAUGAGACCUCCCUUUGAUAGCUGCACAGUGCAGGGGAGUCUUUGCCUCUGGUCCUUGUAGCUGACAAAGUUUUCGGUCAACUUUGAGUUACUCCCUUACAACCUCCGUGUGCCCUAUUGAUGAUGCCAUGUGCAGAGGGCUAAAACCAUCUUUGUUCACUUCCUGAGCCAUAUCUGGUCUCAGGUUUAUGAUCUCCUUUACAAAAUCAAUGUGCCCAUAUGCCGAAGCAACAUGUAGAGGAUUUCCUGCUGAAGUUAGUGCAGAGGUAUGCAGUAUCAAGGGAUUUUCUCCCAGAAGUUGGUGCAAGCUUUGGACAUUUCCUGCUUGAGUUGCCUCAAAUAGCUUUCUAUCCAUUGAGGUGGAAUAUACCCUAUGCCUUAGUGUUGUCCUUAUGUAAGCACACAGGACUUCACUUAUGGGAAAAUAAUAUGAAAAGGAGAUAUAAUUCACGGAGGUAUGGUUUCUUUAGCCUUUCCAAGAAAAAUUUUCUUAUGGACAUGAAACCUUUAUUUUGUUUUAAGGCCAUGAUCAUGUAUCUUGACAUUGUUACAUCAAGACUAGUAUAUAGGUUUUCCUAACUGACAUGAUUGACGAAAUAAAGGUCAGUAGAAUCAUUUAAUUUUAAUAAAUAAAGAAGCUCCAUUUCAGGUGAGCAGAAUUUAAAAUGAAUAUCUUACCAUGCGCAUUUUUCUAAUGAGAAGUAUCCGAAUCUAUGAUUGCCUGGAGCAGUUUCCCUCACCAAUUAUCAGGGUUGGCGGUUGAAGUAAACAGCCGGGAGGCAACGUUCAAAUUUGAAGUGUUAGUAAAGGAUUGCUUUUAGACCAUUUUUCCAUCUAAGGCUGUGGAAAUUUGGAAAUAUUUUUUUUGUAGCUGCAGCGAUUUUCAUUUGGGGAUUUUGAUUGAUAAUUGAAGUUAUUGUUACUAGUAAAAACCAAAAUGAAAAUCAAUUAACAAAAUAAAAAAGUAAUUAAUGAAACAAAAAUUAAACAAUUAGGUCAUUUUGACUUUAUUUCAAAAAAUAUAAAAUUACAUUUUCAUCCUAUAUAAAGUUUAAAUAAAGUGGGCAAGCGACUUAUCAGUCUUUUUAUACUUAAUUUUUAAUAUUUCAUUUCAAAACUUCAAUUUUUUUUUUCCAAAUCUGUCUCUGUGACCAUCCUCCUGCCUCCAUAAGCCUCUGCCCUUGCCAAUAUGUUAUGUGACUCAAAUUUCAUUACUUCAUUUGACAGAAGACAUUUCUCUUUCGUUAAACUUCAAUGGUUUUCAUUAUCAAUAAUAAUAAUAAUGACCAGUUUUUCUUAGAAACAAAAUCAGAAGAUUUCAAACAAAACCGCCUGGAUUUAUCCCCAGACAAUUUAGGAAGGUUAACGUAACCCAACUCACAAGCACUAAAAAGUAAAAACGUUCACUUCACCCGUAUUUCUCAAUGAGAGAAGAACAGAAGGAUUUCAAAUUUGGUCAAACUAACCAAGUAGUUCACUUCUUCUCUUUUAUAUUAUUUAUUAGGACCCUGAAUUCUAUAUUUCAUCAUGUAAAUUGCAAAGGAAAUGACUCGAUUCAGCACCAGAAUAAAUUUAGUGAAUCUAUAUCAAAAUAAAUUUAGUGCGGACUAUAUUUUAGUGUCUUUUGGUCUCUAUUUGGUAUUGAGAUACUGUAGUUUUUAAGUUACAGCUGCUACGAGAAAAAAAACUAUAAUUAUAAAAUAAAAAAUAAUAAUGAGUAAUAAAUAUGACUUUAAAAUAAUAGUUUUAACAAAAAUAGUAAAGAUAUUAUGUGUUUUUCAUCAUAUAAGUGGUAGUUCAAAUCAAUUUGGUUUCCAAACUAUAACAACUAAUAUUUACUAAAUACUUUAAUACUGUAGCUUAAAAGAUACAACUGUUCAACCUCAAUACCAAAUAAGAGAAAUUAUGAAAUACAUGAAAGGUAAUACAACUAAGUAAUGAAUAUAUGACGUGUAUUUAAAUUUAAUAUAACCACCACUUACAUUAUGUUUUUCAAAAUAAAUACACAUAUGUCAUAACAUAACGUGUUGGUUUAUGGCUGACGUGGUAUUUCUGAUGUAUUCUAAAAUUUCCCACCAAAUAGAGCUUUAUUUUUCUUAGAAUUAAAAAACUUGCCAACUUAUCAAUAAAUAAGAGCUUGUAGCUAUCGCAAUGUAAAUUAAUAUCCAUGUACAGGCUAUUGUUACAUGAACAACAAAUAAUUCAUGGAUUUCAAUAGGUUGGCUCAUUUCCCAGGGAAAAAGAAAGAAAUUCUUUUGUAGUGAUCACGAAUUGAUGAUUUCCAGUUAAUGAGAGGAUAAAAGAAAAUCGAACGAUUUUUUUUGCAACACAUGUAGAUUAACUUUUAUAUGCUCAUGGAAACCAAAUUUGAACUUUUAAAUAGGUGAAUAGGUACCCUUAUUUUCUCCUGUGUGAGUUAACGGUUGGAUCUAAAGGGAGGAGUUGUUGAAUGGCUUAUUUGGUAAUUAACAAUUAAGUCCCUGUUUUUAUUUUUUAAGCUAAAAAAAUAAAAAUAAUUUAAUUAUUAACAGUAGUCAAAAUUGUUGCAACUUUUUUUUGGUAAAUAUCUAGGUCCAUUGACAUUUCGACCAUUAAAAUUACUUAGAAUAUGAGAGUAACAAUGUAGUUCUCUAAAAUAUUCUAAAAUACAUGAAAAAUGACAUGUAUCAAUAAUAAAUUCUUGUCACAUAAAAUUUAUUUAAUUUACAAUAAAUAAUUUGAAUAUAUUAAUUUACCAAUAAUGCAUAAAAAAUAUAUAUAAUUAAUGACAAAAAAAUAAAUAUGUCCUUUUUAAUACUUAGAGACACGUCACGCUUUUAUGAAUAAUUUGUCAAACAUUUAUGACAACCUAUUUCACAAGUGAUUGCCUCGCCAUCUAGAUUUACUAAACAAUUUAUGAAAUUAUUUGCAAAAUUGACAAUUUUAGUAGUAUUAUAUUGUAUUAAGUUACAUUAAAAUUUAAUACAAUACCAUAUACGGUGCUGCAUUGAACAACAUUGUUAAAUUUAUUUUUAAUGUUACAUAUUAUUAGUAAUAUCAUUGUUAAUAUUAAUUCUAAUAUUUAAUUUAAUUAUCAAUUCAAAUUUUGAUUUCAAAAUAAAAUUGAAAAAUGAGGCGGCUGACCAUUUUAGUUGGACGGUAAUUAUUUGCUUAACAAAAAAAAAAGUUAAAAUUAAGUUAAUGGGCAUUUGAGUCAUUUUGCCAUUUGUUUAAUGCCAACCGAACAAUAUAUCAAAACUUUGAAACUUCUAAUUUUUAUGGGCAGGUAAUCAUCUGGUUUGAUUGCUCUUACUGCAUAGUUCUUGCGGUUAGUUUUUCUAGUUAAAGCAAAUUAGGAAACCUCUUAUGUUACCUCUAUCCGAGGCUCUUAGCCUACUAGAUAGAAAUUCUAUCCGAACUGCACCAAAAAGCUUGCACUAGUAGACGAUCCAUUUAAUUUUACAACUUCUUAUGUUGGCUCUGAAUUGAUGUGCAGGCAAUGAAGCCAGAAGACAUAUUAACUUAUAUUAUAAUGUAAUAUUAUCAAUAAUAUUACAUGAUAUUGUAAUAUUUUAUUAUUUAUUAAUAACAUAUUAUUAAAUAAUUUUAUUAUAAAAAUUAAGAUAUAAAAAUAAUUAUUUUAUACUUAAUUUCAAAAAUUAAUAAUAAAACCCUAAAAUGUUAAUGAAUUUAAAUAAUUUUAACAUAAAUAUAUAUAAAAAAUUCUUUUAUGUAAUAUAAUCCACCCUACAUCAAACAACAAUGUACCUGAUGCAAUAUAGUUAAUACAAUAUUAUACAAAAUAAUAUGCUAAACGCACCCAUAAUAUUUACAAUCCAAUAUAUCCUAAUAUUAAUUGUAAGUGUCUCAUAUUAUAUCAUUUAUUUUUAAUCACUAAAAAUGCAAUAACAAAAAAAUCUAACAGCAUUUUAUUUGUCCUAAUUUAGUUAUAUUGAUUUUACAUUAUUAGUUAUUUUUUUAUUUGUAAUUUUACUUGGCAAUUUCAAUUCAAAUAAUGCAUACUAUAUUUCAAUAAUCAUUUGAAUUCUAUUUGUCGCUAUCAAAGUUUUAAUAUACGCCAAAGAACUGAAUCUAAAAAAUUAUAGUUCGUCUAAUCACUACCUUAUUUUAUUAAAAAGAUUUUAAUUUAUUUUACUUUAAUUGAUUCUAUAACUUUAAAUCCAAUUUCAAAUUGAGUUGAAUUUAUAUUAUUAAUGAUUGUAUGUUGGUUUCAAUUAUUGUAUAGAAUUAUUACUUUUUUUUAUGAACCUCGACAAAAGGAGGAAAGUUUUAUUAAAUAAAAAUAUAAUCAAAUUUAAUUAUUCAUUCAGUGUUUUUUUUUUCUUUUAUUAUUAUUAAGGUUACAUUAUGUUUUCAUUUCUAGUUAAAUUAUUAUGGUCUUAACUAAUUAAUCCCUGGGUCGCGUGGAUACUGAUUUUGUUCGAUAGGGCGUCAAAGAAUUAAUUAAAAAAAUAUUUACUUUUUUGUUGAUUACAAGUAAAAAAAUAUUUUAUGUGACUGCUAAUCUGCUAUUGCAUCAUAAACAUACUUCUGUAUUCUAAUAUUUGUUAAUAUCUGAAUAUCGUUAAACUAUUUUCUUAAUCUUUUUGCUCCAUUGUCUAGUAAUCUCUCAUCUGCACCCAGCAAAAAUAAAGAUAUUACCAAACAUAACGAAGUGGGAAAAAAAAAAUAUUAUAAUAUAUUGUAUUAAUUAAAUUAAAAUUUAAGACUAAAUCAUGUACGGUGCUAUAUUGAACAAGAUUAUUAAAUUUAUAUUUUAGUAUUACAAAUUAUUAGUAAUAUUAUGUUAAUAUUAACUAUAUUUACAUUAAUAUUUAGUUUAAUUAUCAAUUGAAAUUUUGAUUUCAAAAUAAAAUUGAGAAAUGAUGCCACCAGCCAUUUUACUUGGACGGCAAUAAUUUCUUUAGAAAAGAAAGUUAAAGUUAAUGGGCAUUGUAGUCAUUUUGCAAUUUAGGAAUUCUUGAACGCAAUCUUCUUCUUCUUCUUCUUCUCCCGCCUUUCUCGAAUUUGCCCAUUUAGGAAACUUAGUAGUUGCUUGCAAUUUAAGCUACUGAACUUAACGUUACUACUCCUCAGAUUACACGGACUAUAAAUAUAACACAAUACCACUCACCGACAUCAUUCCAUCUACUUUUGUUCUCUCUUUGUGUCUCGGCUUCUCUGUUUUUUCUUUUCAGCAAUUCACCAACAAUUUUUCUCAAUAAAUCAACCCACCGUUGAAAUAACCCUUUUCUUCUCAAACAAAAUGCAAGAACACAGACCCUUUCUUCCCCAUGGCUUCCAGUUCAGACCAUCAGAUGAAGAACUCGUUGAACAUUAUCUUAAGAAGAAGAUUUCCGGAAUACCCAUUCCUCUCGCUGAGUAUUUCGUCACGGACUGUAAUCUUUAUGACAAAAAACCCUCUGAAAUUUGGGAUUCACAUGGAGGACCCUUUUUGAAUGCUGAUGAGGAUAUGUAUUUCUUCACCCAAUUGAAGAAAAAGUCUUCUAAGGGUUCCAGAAUUGACCGCAAAGUCGGUUCUUCCGGUGGUGCUUGGCAAGGGGAGGAUGCCGGUAAAGACAUUGUAAGCGGCCAAUCUAAAAUCAAAAUCGGCUCCAAGAAGCGGUUUCGUUAUGAAAAGAAAGGUUGUGAGGAUCAUGGGGCUUGGAUCAUGCAUGAGUACACCCUACAUUUGCCCAAGAAUCAAGCUACCAAUUAUGUGCUUUGUAGGCUCCGAAAGAAUCAACCAACUGGCCAAGAUAAGAAGUUCUGUUCUGCAAAGAAAAGAAAGUUGAAGGAUUUUCAAGAAAACAACAAUCAAUCUGAACAAGUGACAGAUUCUGAGAUGGAGAGGGUUUUGACCCACCAACAAAAUCGGCAACAGAAUGAUGUGCAUUAUCAAGAAGUUAGUUGCAGCAGUACUGGCAUGAUGAGUGAGCAGAGCUUAUCUGGUGGAAUGGGCUUUGCAAGUAGUGUUGCUGAACAUUCUGCUGUAACUGAUCAAAUGCAACAACAUCAGUGUCAGCAGAUACUAAUUCAAAAUUCAGAAUGUCAUUACGAGCCAUCUAUGGAGAUGAUGAUGAGUAAUUUUGACCAGAUGUUAUAUAACCAGCAAUGUGACUCUGGAAACAACAUGCUUCAGAGUAGAGAAACUGGUGGGAAUUGUCAUUGUGAUUCGGAGAGUAUUGCUGAUGCCAUGGCAGUGCCUGAGUCAUUGGUGCAGCAAGAAGACUGUGAUGCACUGCCUGAGUUAAUAGAGGAAGACUAUUCUUUUCUGGAAGAGUUACUUUGUAAUGAUGCUCAAGAACCAAUAGGAGAUGGAGAAAGCAUUGAUGAGACUGAUGGAAUGGAUCAUUCAUCUACUGUUGCUGAGAAACAAUUUGAAGCAUUUGUUGUGGUGCUUGAUCAGAGUGUUCAAAACUCGAGCCUACAAGAAAACCAGCAGCAGAGAGAGUGUCAAUCUAAAGAAACCUUUGCCAUUUCAUCUGACCAUGAUUAUGAAAGCAGCAUUUCUCAGAGAAGAGAAUCUGGUGGAGUUGAUUAUGAGUUGGAAUCAAUUCAUCAGCUGCUUCUAUCUGGCCAAAAUGAUUGCGACUUGAUGCUGGACUUGGAGCAUAUCUGGUCUUAAUUGGAUUAUGACACGAAUUUGUGUUAUUUUUACUGUAAUAAUUUUUCCCCAUGUAAUUAAAAGAUUUGAGUUUAACAAUAACGUUCUCGUGGGUAACAGUAAGAUUUGAGGUUAAAUAAUUGCGCGAGAAAUAAUUUGCAUAUAAGUGGGAGAGUAAAUUCAUUUACAUUUUAAAUAUAUUUCUUAUGACCACUUUUAUACAUGGUACAGUUUAUGUUUCCUUCUACACGUUGAUUCAUUUGCAAGGCUAGCUAGAAUGGCUGAUCUGCAGAAAUUGCAAUCAAAAUGCUCAUUGACAACUAAUAUACCUGGCGAUGACCUUCAAUUAUAUUACUACUACUUGCAACAAUUUUAUUUUUCUGAGGUGUCAAUCAACAACUUUAUAACUAAUAGCUCAAAUCAGGACAUGAUGUAAUCUGUCAGAUGAUAUUGACAAAUGAUAUUAGUUUAUUUGCAGAAUCCAGUUGAAAUCAAUAGGAUCGAAAGCUCAUCACUAGGAAAAUAAAAUUGACCCUUGUCAACACUUUUAUGUAAUUGGUGUUCUAAAAUGACCUGAACAAUAUUAACCAAUAUGAAUACCCAAGCUCCAAUUGUAGAUGCACAUAAAGUCAUAUCUAGCAAAGCAUUUGGAGUUAUAUAAAGGUAACACAGCAACUGAAGAUAAUUGAGAUCUUGAACUUCUUGUCAAAUUUUAUUUUCAAUUACUUUAUGGAUCCUUUCUGCGUUCUAUAACCUUCUUUCUGCAUUUUCUUACCCAUCUAGCUGUAAGUGGAAUAAGUGCAGGUAUAAUUGCUUCGGUUACAAUGAUAAAAAUCCGUAUGCCAACAGGUGUAGUGGCUAUUACCGCAGUGUCAUAGGUGAAAUACAUUGCCAAGAAACACAACUGAAGACCAAGCUGCAGGGGGAACUUGGUAGUUAGAAUGAUGAUCAUGUAGAUGGACAAUUUAAACCCCAAGGAGUUGAAAAACAUAAAAAGAGCAAAUGCAACUGCAUUCUGCAUUCAUGGAACCCCAAAUAGCUUCCCCUGCAUUGUGUGCUUUGCUACUGCUUGUGCUAUUGUUUUUAUCAGGCGUAUAAUUGUCUUGCCAUACACCGCCAGGAGGGUUGACACCAAAUUGGAAGCUUGUAGUUGCCACCAAAGCAGCUACAACCAAUAGUGCACUGCGUGUUUCACCGGGAGAAUCCCUUCCCUUUUUAAACUUGAAGUACUCUACGAAAUCAUGUCUGCUGUCUAGUUGUCUCUGCUGAUGCAGGGCUAUUAACUGCAGUUUGACCGUGGGAUUCAGGUGAAGGACUUUCAGAGGGAGUAACAUCUCUCAUUCUUUUAGCUCCAGCUCUUCGAAGGAUCUCGUCAACUUCUCUGUCUCCAGCUUCACUUGGGAAAAUCAGGAGCAGAUCAAGUGCAGUUAGACCGCUAUGAUUUUACCUCCAAUCUCCCUGAAGAAUAUGUUCCAUGACCAAGUAACAGUUCUAUUACCUGCAAGUAAAUUAUAUUCUUCAACUGCUCAUUAUGGCUGGUAGAUAAAUCAUAAGAUACUUGGUAGUUGAUUUUUUUGUUUUUUCCCAAGAAGUUAAGUUAUCUAUUCAAGCAAUUUCAUCAUUCUAUUUCAUUUUUUUUUUCAGCACAUGACCUGUGUCUAACCCUACAAUUCUUUCUAGGAUUUGAAACACCAAGCCUUGUCAAUAGAUGGUGGCUUUCACUUAUAAAGUUGCUAAAUCGAGCACAAGCUUGGGGCAUUUAAGUGAGGCAAAUUUUUUAAUCACAGGUUUGUGUUCACUAUUUUCCUUGGACAUCAGCCAAUUAAUAUUCACUUAUGGCUAGUCAGCAUGAUUCCACAGAAACAGAAGGAUGGGAGCAUAACUUAAAACUUGGAGGGAACUAAUAUCUGAAUUGAAGAAAGUAAGGAAAGGCUCAUCAGUGCAUAUUUGUCCUUUUGGCUUACGAACACGCUGAAUCCAUACUAACCCAUUUUCCAAACAAAUGCACAAAUCUUAAAGAUCAUAUGACAGAUGUUAUUGGCAGGUGAUGAUGAUCAAGUUUGAACACAAAUAAAAGCUUAUAUCAGGGGAGAAUCCAUUUUCUUUUACAACUUGUUUUGAAUAAGAUUUUGUACUCCCGCAUUCAAUAUAAAUUUAACCACAUUAUUGCAGAAACAUGGCUCUAAUAAUAGAAGUCCAGGCCAUAGAAGCCAGAAGACAUGAUAUUUCUACGGCUCUCAAGUCAAAUACUCCCUUACAAUGAUCUGGAAAAUAUAGAAACAAGAACAAACCUCAUUGAAAAUGGAAACUAUCAAGUGUUGGAUUAAAUAACAGAUUGGACUUACCUUUGCGUUGUUUCUUCCGAGUGGCCAGGUGCAGCACGGUAUUGCCUUGCUCAUCUUUCAUAUUGAAGAUUUCUUCCCUCUUCAUCCCUCUAAUCCAAUUCACCAAAACUGUAAUUGCUUCAAACUGGUUGUUCUUAAUAGCAAGGUGCAAGGCAGUAUCAUGCUGAAUGGUCACAUCUUCUAUACAUUCUGGACAAGCUGAGAGCAUUUCACUUAGUACAUGUACUUUCCCUUUGAUAGCAGCACAGUGCAGUGGUGUAUUUUUCUCUGGUCCUUGCAGGUGACAAAGUUUCUGCUCAACUUUUAGCAACUCCCUUACAACCCCUGUGUGCCCUAUUGAUGAUGCUAUGUGCAUAGGGCUGAAACCAUCCUGGUUGACUUCGUGAGCCAAAUCUGGUCUCAGGUUUAUGAUUUCCUUUACAAAAUCAACGUGCCCGUAUGCCGAAGCAACAUGUAGGGGAUUUCCUGCUGAAGCGAGUGCAGAGGCAUGAAGUAUUAAGGGAUUUUCUUCCAGAAGUUGUUGCAAUUUUUGAACAUAUCCAGUUUGGGCUGCCUCAAAGAGCCUUUUUUCCAUUGAAACAGACUGGCCUUCACAUUUGGGCAAAACGUGGAAUAUGAAAGGAGAUAUUUUCUUAAAGCCUAUAAUUUGACCAAGAAUAUGAAAGCCUUUAUUGCAGUUUCCUUUUUCAUACCUUUUCUUAAAGCCUUUAAUUGGACCACGAAUAUGAAGGCCUUCACUGCUGUUUCCUUUUUCAUACCUUCUUUUCUUCUGAUGACCAAGUAUUACAUAAAAUAAGGAUAACUAAAUGGAACUCUUAGAAUUAUUCAUAAUAGAAAAUGAAAAUUUUUCUUCAUCAUUAAAGUAAACAAACCUGUUACAUUAUCUUACCUGUUAAUCUAGUCUGUUAUAGUUGACUUUUAUGGAGUGACACGAGGAUUAGUGUACAUAUGUAUAUUGCAGAGAUUGGUUGCUUCAAGAAUUAUGAUUGUUAGUCAACCCAUUUGAAAAUUUAUGAUAUGGUGCGGCUUUCCUACUGUUGUUCAAUAAUUUUCUGUAAUAUAUUGCAAGCCAUGUAACUCCCUUAAGAUAGAAAGUUACUUCCUGUUACAAGUUUUUUGGCUGAAUAUUGGGUAACUUGGCAAUAAGAGUCAACUAGAAAGAAAUGCUUCCAACCAAGUAAAAUAUUAGGCUAUACAUGAAUUAUUAUUAUAAAUUAUCUGCUACAUGUACAUCAGAAAUGUCUCCAUAAUAUCUGGAGUGGAGGCAGGUCGUAAAAAAGGGAAACAGAUAAAUGAAUAUGAAAUAUUGUUGCUUCACUUCUGCAUGUCUCUACUAGUCUAUAGCAUAGACGAAAAAGUAUACUGAAAUUUUUGUUCUCUUUCUUUCAACGACUCUAUGGCUCCAUGGUGUGUUCUGUAUGCCUCUUUCUAUGUUGUCUUAACAAAUAAGCUGCAAGUGCAAUAACUGCAGGCAUAAUUGCAACAGUUAGAGUGACAAAAAGCGACAUGCCAUCAGGUGCAAUAGUUAUUACCGCAUUGGUGUAUGUCACAUACAUUGCGAAAAAACACAGCUCAAGCUGCAGGGGGAAAUUGGUAGUUAGAAUUCUAAUCAUUUCAAUAGACAGAGAAAAACCUACGGAGUUGAAAAAUAUGAAAAUGCCAAAUCCAACUGGGUCUGUAGAACCCAAAAUAGACUGCCCCGCACUGUAUGCUUUGCCGCUGGUGGUGCCAUUCUUUCUGUCAGGUUUAUAAUAUUCUUGCCAUACACCACCUGGAGGGUUGACACCAAAUUGGAAGGUUGUAGUUGCCACCAAAACAGCGACAACCAGUAAUGCACUACGCGUCUCACCAGGAGAAUCUCUACCAUUUUUGAACUUGAAGUACUCCAUCAAAUCAUUUGGUUGCCGCAGAUUUGCCUCAGUCGAUAUACAAUUGUCAACUGAGGUUUGACCGUAAGGUUCAGGGGAACGAAUGGGAGAGAGGGUAAGAUCUCUCAUUCUCAUAGCUCCGGCACUCCAAAAGAUCUCCUCAAUUUCUCUAUCUCCUGCUUCACUUGGGAAACUCAGCAGCACGUCAAGAGCAGUGAGACCGCUAUGGUUUGUGGCAUUUACUUCCAAACCCCCUGAGGCAUUUGCUCCAUGGCUAAGUAACAGUUCUACUACCUGUAAGGAUUUAUUGUUUAACCUUUUCUGAAAAGUCACUUGGUAAAUUCUUAAAUGCUUGACAUUUAUGUUAUUUCCAAGCAGAUUUUCCAUUCUUGCAGAAUGAUAUAUAUCUAAGAUUGAAGAAGGAAAGCAAGGGUUGUAGAACUUCAGAUUUACUAUUUGGGUCCAGGAGCUAAGCCAGGAACCACUGAGGUUUCCCAUUGGCUUUCUAGUUCUGAAUGCAUCAAGUCCAUACCAAUGCAAUUUUAAAAGCAGAGCAAAAACUAAUUUCUGGACAUGAACUAGCCAGGUUCAACUGCACUAAAUAAAUAGUUUCUUGCAGUCAAUGUUUUUACUUGAAGUGAAUUAAGGGACAUCUUCGCAUAGGAGCUUUUUUGGAAUGAACAAAAAAGGUCAUAUUAGGAGAGGAUCCAUCACUGUGAACUUAGAUUAUGUAUUCCAAUGCAUCAUCGUCAAGAAUUAAUCACAUAUUGUGUAAGUAUGGUUCUCAACAGAUGUCUAAACCUAAGCAAUGCAGAGAAAUCUUUUGACAGUUGGAAGUCUAAAAUCAAAUGCUCCCUUAAGAUGAUCAGAAGGAACUAGUAGUAAACACAGAUCCUAGAAUAGGUCUUAUCAAAGACUGCAUGAAAAUUAGAUUUAACUUGCCUGGCAUUCUCUCUUCCAGGUUGCUAGAUGAAGCGCUGUAUUGCCCUGCUUAUCCUUCAUAUUCAAGAUAUUUUCUUUCUUCACAUCUCUUAUCCAAUCCACCAAAGCUCUCACUACUUCAAACUGGUUGUUCUUAACAGCAAGGUGCAAAACAGUCUCUCUUUGAACACUCACAUCUUCAGCACAUUCUCCAUAAGCAGAGAGCAUUUCACUUACUACAUCAACUCUCCCUUUGAUAGCUGCAAAAUGAAGGGGAGUCUUUCUUUCUGGUCCCUGAAGGUGACAAAGUUUCUGGUCAAAUUUCAUGAGCCCCCUUACAACGUCUAUUUGUCCAUUGGCUGAUGCCAUGUGCAUAGGACUAAAACCAUCUUGAUUCACUUCCUUGGCAAAAUCUGGUUUCAGCCUUAUGAUCUCCUUUACAAAAUCAAUGUGCCCGUAUGCAGAAGCAACAUGUAGGGGAUUGCCUGCAGAAGCAAAUGCAGGGGUAUGUAGUAUUAAGGGAUUUUCUACAAAAAGUUGUUGCAAAUUUUGAACAUCUCCUGUUAGAGCUGCCGCAAUGAGCCUUCUGUCCAUUCUGGUGGAGUAUGCUGAGUUUCUUCACCUAGAAUGUAAGCCAGACACGAGUUCUCCCAAGGGGAAAUUGUGGAUUAUGAAAGAAGUUCAAAGAUUGAUUUUAAGCCUUUAAGACAAUUUUGCGUGUGAUCAAGAACGGUUUAAUGUUGUUUCAUAAUUCUAUUGGUCAAUCUCGUUUCAUUUUCUUUUCCUCUCAAAAAAUUUAAGUAGCAUAUCCGUUUAUGCAAGAAGCAAGAUUUCAACAUAUGUCAAUAUCUAAUUAGUAGCUGUACUUAAACAAUUACUUCUGAAGUGCGAAGACAAAUAAAUAAUGCAUAGAAUAAGAAAGACUAAAUGAAACUGUUAGAAUUCUUCAUAAAAAUAGUUAAACAAACCAUUUACAACAUCGGAGAGUUGACCUCUCAUUAAUCUGUCUUUUAAUGUUGAAUUCUUAACAAUCUGACAUCAGAAACACUAGAAAUCUAUUGGACAGACUGCUUGCUUCAAAAACUAAGAUUACUAGUCAUCCCUUUUAUGAUAUGACAGAGGAAAUAUAACACAUGAUUAAGACACGCACGUCAUUUUCUUUUAAGGAAAAAAAGAAAAAGAAAAGAACAAGAAGAAGAAACUCCGCAAUUGUCGGUAGAAAUCUACAUUAUCCGCUAUAUGAGAAAUGAGGACAAAAUCAUUUGUGACCCAAAUCAUGACUAAAAGUCCAUUCAAUGUCCGUGUCCGUUUCCAUGAAACAGACAUUCGACUUCACCUCAAUUAUCCUUGACAUUUGACAGAAAUAUUGCUGAUAAGAUAUAAAGAAUUCAUGCAAUAUCAAUCUAAAGCAAUACAAAGGGCUUUUAUUAUUUACAGAAGGCAAACCCCUUCAAAAUCUUCUAGCUAUCAUUGCUUCAGUUCAUCCUAUCAACUUAAUUUUCAUGGAAGCUACUCCAGUUGGUAAUGGAAGUGAUCAUUUGAUACAAUUACCUACACUAGGUGAGAAUCAAAUCUUCCUUGAUUCAUAUCAAUUGCAAAAAAUAAAAAAGCAGCAAAAAUGAUAAUUCCCUGGCGUUGGAUUUUACCAAGUUUAACAGACUCAGCUGCUCCUGACAAAGUGCAUUUAAAAUUGAUUAGACAAAGAAUGACUGGGAUUUAUUUCUGGUGGUAGGAUAAAAAGCCACCAGAAAGUACUUAAAGCCCAGAUAUUGAUUCAAGAUUUAAUUUCUCUGAAGAAGAAGAUUCGGCUUGUUUGCUUUCCUCCAGUUUGGGCUUAUUCAUGGCAUCAAGAGUUUGCAAGUAUGUGUAAGAUGCACUCCGACUAGUUGGCGGAUUAGGAUUGCUUAUUCUGCUAGCAAGGAAGCGACGAAUCAGGCCCCUGAGGAAUGGGGCCAUGGUAUCCGGCUCAUAUUCUAAAUAGUACAUAAUUCCUCCCAUGCAUGCACAAAAUAAUGCCACCUGAAAGGUUUGGAAUAAUAAGUUUAAAAUACAUAAAAAAAUAUAACCUAUUCAACAAACAGAAAAAUUUAGGUCAUUCUGUGUCAAAACCAUUUGCCUUUCCGUGAGAUACAUGCUCACGUUGGGCCAAAAUAUAUGAGUUAAUCACAUGAGUGCACACAGAAGCACAUCCUCAUACACAGGACAGUCAAUUGCCUCCAUUUAACACUCCUUUUUUCUAAACAAAGUUUGUCGGCAAGAAAAAUGCAUAGAAAAACACAUGGGCACUUAUGUGUUUGCAUUAAAUAACCUUUUGAAAUAUGGGUUCAUCCUAGGAUCAGGAAUGAUCAAAAAGCAUUACUCAGCAAUAUCAGAAAUGGAUUAGGCAGCCUUCAGUAAUAAAAUAUGGGAUGCAAGCUUCUUAAGUCAAUACGAAAAGUUUUCAAAGGAUUGUUAUGAAUGAGCAUACCUCAGCAUUCUUUACAUCAGGAAGCAGGUGGCGGUUUACUAAAAUAUACCACAAUGAAUCUCCUGCCCGUGGAAGAACAUAUAAAGCAAGUUCACCACGUCUAGCCUUUUUCUCCAGCAAUACAGAAAGCGCAGAAAAUGCGCCUGCAACCCAGAAUACCAGCUUGUGGUCUUUCGAAGCAAUUUUUCUGUGCACACAUAUGACUCCCUUGCAUAAUCCAAAAGCAUAUUAACAAUUAAUUCACACAGCUUUUAACUGAAAAAGACAAAAAGAAAAAAGAAGUGAGAGAUACAGAGAGAAAAUAGCUACCUGAAAAAUUCCAACAAAUGCAGACAAGAAUGAUGUUGAGCGAACAGCGCCUUUAAGUGCAAGCCAGCAGGUACGAGCAGGAGAAUCCAUGAACUGAAAAUGGAUCAUGAUAUUAAAAAAAAAAAAAAAAAGGAAGGAAAACAUAAGUCCCACAUUGAAAUGUGGCUGUCAACCACUAUACAAACCAAAUUGUAGUACAAAAAUAAAGAAAAAAAAAAAUUUAAUUAUAAGGAAAUUUCCUCUCUGUGAUGGGAAAGGGUGCAAUUGUCAACUGUAGCAUUACUUGGGGGGGGGGNNNNNNNNNNNNNNNNNNNNNNNNNNNNNNNNNNNNNNNNNNNNNNNNNNNNNNNNNNNNNNNNNNNNNNNNNNNNNNNNNNNNNNNNNNNNNNNNNNNNNNNNNNNNNNNNNNNNNNNNNNNNNNNNNNNNNNNNNNNNNNNNNNNNNNNNNNNNNNNNNNNNNNNNNNNNNNNNNNNNNNNNNNNNNNNNNNNNNNNNNNNNNNNNNNNNNNNNNNNNNNNNNNNNNNNNNNNNNNNNNNNNNNNNNNNNNNNNNNNNNNNNNNNNNNNNNNNNNNNNNNNNNNNNNNNNNNNNNNNNNNNNNNNNNNNNNNNNNNNNNNNNNNNNNNNNNNNNNNNNNNNNNNNNNNNNNNNNNNNNNNNNNNNNNNNNNNNNNNNNNNNNNNNNNNNNNNNNNNNNNNNNNNNNNNNNNNNNNNNNNNNNNNNGGGGGGGGGGGGGGGAGAGAAGUUUAAAUAUGUUGUUGUUCACCAAUCAAAAACUAGCUUUUAUAAAAAAUAAAUGAGGAAGAAAUGCAUAUCAUAACAUUUGGUUUGUGAGAAAUGUACAGGAAAAGUGGAAGGCGACAAAAUCCUCCAGGCCUCAGAGAAAAAGUGAGGUAAAUUCAAAAAGCAUUAGAUGAAAAACCAGAAUGAAGUGAUUAUAAUCAUUUCUCAGAUACGCCUUUUAACAUUAGGCAUCUUCCACACAGCAGAAGCAGUAUCUAUCAUAUAUAUUCAACACAUGAGUCAUGGGUUUUUGGAAGAGUCACAUAGGUGGCAAGAAGGGAUGAUUUGUUGACAGCAGAAGAGAUAGAGGUUUGCAGUAAAAACAAACUUCAAGGUCAAUCAUCACAGCAAGGGAACCAGUAAUAGGAAAAGGCAAAAUUUCUGUUUUCAAUAGCUUUAUUUGAGAAUGCUUCAAUUAACUUGCUGGGUGGAUCCACCAGACAGAUUCCAUUAGAAUGAUAGAUAAACAGAAUGUGGCAAUUGACAUGCUCAUUAUUACCACAAACACAGAAUAUGACAUAAAAUUCUUAAAUAAGAUUCAAUCAUUCAUUUCCAUAAAAGCUAAAGCGCCAGUUUCUUAUAGCAGGUUCAAGAUUCUAUGCCCAUGAAACCAGCCUUGCAUCCAAAUUGUUCACAGAAGUAGAUGCAUAAGAGAUAAGAGUUGAGUGUGAACCAAUUUGAGUGAAAGUUGUACCUUCUGUAGGUGCAGAACAACAAAUGGUACAAAUGUCAAGGAAAAGUAUAGCGGAAAUGUUUUUCUGAAUGUAGCUGAUGCCGCUUUAGCAUUGUGACCCAGACAUGAAUCAGUGUCUGGAUGAAUAAUUGAACAAGGAAUUAUGGAGGGAAACUCUUCCAACUUCACAUCGUUUAACUUCCCUCUGCUUGAUAAAUAGGCUGAUAUAUAGGCAACAUCUACCGGACCACCUCGACAGCAAUCUCUCACAGCUUUGUAAACAGGUUUGGCUACUGGGCCAGUCUUCUGAAUGAAGUCCUGAUAUGAUUUUGGCAAGCUCUCAGGACGCAUUACAAAGGAAUACAUAACCUGAAAUGAGUUUCUCAAUCGAUGAAAUUACCCCCAAAAAAAAAUAUCAACAUACAAGGCAAAAACCUAAAUGUUGCAAGAUAAAUGCAAAGUUCCAAUAUCUUCUUCUUCUUUUAAAGUAAAAGUUAUAAUUACUUAUUAAUACCAUAAACUAGAAUACAUAUCUACUACCAUGAGGUGGCAUUUGCAAUAACAUACAUUGUCUAAAGGAAAAUAUUACUUGGAUUGUUUUAGUACACAGUAUAGUAACAGGUAGAGAAAGUAAAUUAAACAAAAGUUUUUCACCACUUUGCUUCAUCAGUCUCAAAAACUUUCCAAGCAUAAACAGAUAAAAGGAAAAAACAAAAAGGGUUAUUUGACAACUUGGUAUAGCAUGAUAUUACCUGGGCACAAGCUAGAGAAAAGAGCAAAGAAUCUCCAUGCCUCCAAUAGCUACCCCACAAGUGAAACUUGUUCUUCGACUUAGCAGAAUUAUAUGCACACUAAUAACAACAAUUUAAAAAAAAAAAUUAAUUUCCAAAAGCUCUGACGGUGGGGUGAUAUAAAAAUUGAUCAAUGUACCUGAGCUACUCUAGCCAAAAGAUAAAGAGCAAGCGUGCGUCUCCUAUUAGAAUCAUCCAAAGCUAAAACAGACAAACCAGCAAUUGAACCUGCUAAAUAUCUGCUCCAAUCAUAUAUCACCUUAAGCAAAAUUAGAAAAAAAAAUACAAAAUCAAAGCAAACGGGUGUGAGAACUUACGCAUUGAAUGGAGUCUCUUUCUUUCUGAAUUUUCUUAACAUACAUCUAAGCAAAUGAUAGGAUCCAGUAAACCCACCAAAAAGUAAACCAAUUCUACACGCUUCUUCUCUUACAAUCAAAUCUUUCUCAGAUACAAGUUGCUGCAAUAGAAAAAAAAGAAAAAAGAAAAAAUCAAUUUUUCACACAACUUUUGACAAAAUUGAGAAAAUAAAAAGUACCAAAGAAAGAAAAAAAGGGGGUUACUUUAAGAUCGAGGAGCGAAGAAUAAGACUGCCCACGCGCGAGCUUGAAGGCGCGCAGGAGAAUUCCAAUCCCAACUCUCACUCCAUAAGAAAGAAGAAAGCUUUGGCAGAGGUUACCAAUUGCGUUCGCCACACAAGACUCGUCACCGGCGUGGUCGCAGGGCGGCAGGGAGGAGCCGUCGCCGCUGCCGCCGCGAGUGCGUUGGCGGCGUUGGAGCUCCUCUAUGGCUUCGCGGAGGCGCUCCUCCGCCUCGCGGAGGCGGCGUUCGGCCUCGGCGUCGGGAGUUUUGUAGAUUGGUUGUGGCGCCAUUUGGUGGUUGGAUGAUGAGGGAAGAGCUUUGGCGUCCGCGGGGAGCAGACGAUACCAAAAUGAAGGUGAAUGAAACGCAAUAAAUGGCAACUCCUGUUUUGUUUUAUUAUUUUUCUGUUUUUUUUUUUUUUUUUUUUUUUUUUUUUUUUUUUUUUUUUUUUUGCUUUUUGGGACGCUCGAGGAUAGAGUUUGGUUCAGAUUAAAUUUUUUUUUUUUUAUUUCUUUCAUAUUAAAGAUUCAGAUAUAAAGAAAUUCUUCCGAGCUUACGUGUCAAUAAAUAAAUAAUUUUUCUAAAUAAGAUAAAUAUUUUCUCGCAAAGUGUUGAUAAUAUUUUUUGUAAACAUUUUUGGAGAAAUUGAGAAUCCAUGGACCAAUGAUAUAAAAUCCAUGACGGACGACGAAUAUCAUUAUCGAAUCCAUGGAUUGAAAUUUAUAAAAUUUAUUUAUCCGAUAUGAAUUAGACUGAUUGCAUAAAAAAUAUAUUAAAUCAUCAUAAAUAUUAUUAUCUUUCAACUAAUCUAUUUUAAUCACAUUUUUUAUAUGAUUGCUGUAUAAUAAAAUAAAUUAUAAAUAAUAUAAAUUUUUGCAUUCAUUCUUCCUUUUUUUUUUUUUUUUUUUUGAACCUCAUGUUUGGUGUAUAAUUUUACUGUUUCAAUCUCUAGAGAUUCUUUGCUUUCACUAUAGUCAUGAGUCGCGUGUGACUUAAUACUUCAUUUUUUUUUUUAAAUGUACACGUUUAUGCUUAGACGUUAAUAAAGCAUAAUCGUGGUCGGGGUGUGGUGCCUGUCAUGAGUCAUGUGUGACUUGUACUUCUUUUUUAAAUGCACACGUCUAUGCUUAGAUGCUAAUAGAGCAUAAUUGUUGUAGAGGUGUUAUAACUAAGUAUUUUAAAUUUUUUAUCUUAAAUUUUAUUCUAAAUGGUAUGUUAUUUAUUGAUUGAUCGAUAAUUUUUUAUAAAAUUUAAGUGAAUUAAUUAUAUUAUUUUUACCAAAUAAUUAAUUAAUACUACGUGAUUUGAGAUAAUUUUUUAGGAUAAAACUUUGGGAUAUGUAGCUCUACUCAUCUAUAAAAUUAGAGAAAAAAAAAUUGUUCCUUUCAAUUGAAGAAUAAGCAAUGGGUAAUUGUCUUAUGUUUCAAUUCGUCUUAUAACAUAAGAAUAGAUUUCAUCAACUUAUUUUAAAUUCAUUUGUCUGAUUUCAAAAUCCAUCGGGGUAUAAGCACAAUUUAAAAAAAAAAAUUAUUUGUUAUUUAGCUGAUGGCCAAAAGAAAAGAAGGGAGUGAGAGAGCAAUUUCGUGUGUGUGUGUGUGUGUGUUAAAUAUUGAAUCAUUUUUCAUAUGAUUCUUGAGUCAUAAUUUAAAUAGGUAUAAGAAUAAGAUGUUGAUGUGACUACAAAGUUGUCAUAAUUAAUGGCGGGAAAACUUCCCAUUAGAUUUCUAAUUGCAUUUAUUAUCUAAACUUGCUUUUUGGUUAGUGAGUAGGGUUGACAAAAAUGAUCGGAUCGGCUCAAAUUGGGUUGUCCCGGCCUACAUGAAUUUGUUCUGUAUUGGUCCCACUCCGUUGGAAAAUGCAAAUCCUGAGCUUUGCACAAUUGUGACUUAACAAGCAAGUGAACAAUACAACUAAAUUUUCUUUCCAGGGCCGCUUGGCUUUUGGUCUUGCCAAGAGGCUUCCCAUUGCUUGUCAUACAAAGCUGCUUCGUCAGCAAGAUUUUUCAGGUUCUGGAAACCUUCCUUUUUCCUGAAGAGUAUGAUACCAUUACCGGCAACCGUGACAAACACUCCGGCCUUGCAAAUGAAAUUCCCAGUUUGGCCAACCACAUCUAGCCCUGUCAACGCAUCUACAAUGUAUCCCAUGAAGAAUCCCACCAUCGCAGCUCGACCUAAAAUAUAUUACGAGUGAUUUCUCUAACAUGAUACCAAAACAGAUUCGAUCCUAUCAGCGAAUUUCAUCUUACAGCCUCAAUGACCAAAAGACGUUAUAGGGUUUUUAUGACUGAUAGCGUAUAAAUUAGAUUAGUUUAGCUAAGGUUAUUCAUAUUGCUUGUCUAGUCAGUUUAGUUAGUAUUACUUAUAAUUGUCAAAUUUCGUUAGACUAAAAUAAACCAUUUUACUGAUUAUAUUAUUUAGUACUGACCAUUGAGCAGCUCGGCCUGAGGGAGAUAAGAAUGCAAGAGCCAUGCCCACCAAGGUAUAAUGGAGCUCCUAAACACCACAGGUUCUUUCAUUUGUAGCUGAAUCUGGAUACAUUUCAAGGAACUUUCUCCUUCUUGCUUCUACAAACAAAUUUAUAACAAACAAAUUAUCCAUUCUUAAUUUGAUACAUAUAAUUGAAAGACUAUGAUACUGUAAAAAUAAUUUUAGAUAGUAACAUCUUAGAUGAAAAGGCUGUCUCACCUGCAACAAUCACAGCAUCCCAAUCCAUCUUGCCGUCUUUAACAAACAUGUUCAAGUCCCAUGUUCCAUUUUUCCAGCGAGCAUCGUUGAACUUCGGAUGAGAAGAUUGUGUGUCCAAAUUAUCAUUUUCAGCAACAUUUGGCUUACUUGUACGUGAAGAAGACUUGGAAGAUUUGUCUUGUUGUUCAACUAUAUCCAAACUUUUUUGGCCAUCAACAUUUAGAGCGACAACAUUUGACACCUGUUUUGUCCCCAAUGAGCGACCGGUUCUGGUUUGAGACGGUUGUUUUUUAGUGACAUGGUUUGAGCUGCAGGCUCUUUGCGAGGAAGCCGAAAUGGCAAAGGAAGCCGUUGUUGUUUCGAGAGAGUUCUUUUCUUUUGCUUUCUAGUUUACUCUCGUUAAUUAUGAAAGAAGAAUGAGGAGCAUAGGCAUGAGGAGAGCCCAUACUCAAUAAAUAAAUAAGAUUAUCUUCCCGCCUCUGUUUUGUCAGAAAAGUUAUGGGAAGCUUUCUUUUAAGUUUUAACCAUAUCUGCUUUCUUGAAUUCUUUUUGCAAGAAUUACCAUGGUAAAAUAUGUUCAUUUCAUUUCAUUGGUCCCAUAUCAUCUUGCAUGAAAGCAAAAGAACUGAAAAAAGAAAAAAAAAAUUCAAGGCAUUACUUGAUUACAAUAAGUGCCAAUUCUUUGGAAACAGAUAAACAAGUUGAUGUUGCUUCAAAAAUGGUUCAUAUCAGAUAACAAUAUAAACUCAUAUUUCAGGAUAAUGCAAACACAUUGAAUUGCAAGUGGUUAGGACUCAGCAUUGGCAUCACGUUAUAAAAAGACUCCUUUCCAAACUGAACCCAACCAGAAAAGAAAUAGUAAACGGCUGAAACAUAUUGUUUGUAAAAGCUCAGAUUUCAUAUAAAUUAUAAUCCUCCCAAUGAAUACAUUGAAUUUGUAUGAAGUUCAAAAUUGCAGGAAAGGGAAACAAAUAAAACUUUGGUGGGAGGUAAGAAUGGCUUGUAAGCUGCCUUCUUGUGGUUUGGCAAACUAGAUAUGAAAAGAUUGAUGGAGGAAGGGUACAAGGCUGUUUAUGCCUCCCAGCCUCUCAAAGUGGUAGCACGAGCAACUCGGUUCACCCCAAGUGUGAAGGCACCCAUCCGCAGAUUGCAAUUGUGUGUCUGACACAUGCCCUUGAUGUUAUGAAAAGCUCUAAUCAUGUACCUCCGAAGCUCAUUGUUCACCUUAUCCUCUUCCCACAUAAAACCUUGAAUAUUCUGCAAGAAUGAAUAAAAUUGUGAUGUAUUAGCCUUCUCCAUAAAAGAAUAUCAAGAUAAACUAUAUGACCAGCAUUUAAGGUGGGACCAAAUCAUUGGCAUCUUUUAUGGCAAAGGACAAGUUCAAAAAGACAGAGCGAUGCUUGGCAAUCAGAGACGAAGAUAGUAUUCAACUGCUAUGGAAUCAAAAAAAAUUACUGUCAUUAAUUUUUUUACCUGAACCCACUCGAAAUAGCUAACAGUCACACCUCCAGAAUUUGCAUAUAUGUCAGGGAGGAUUGUGACUCCUCUCUUAGAGAGUAUCUGUAAUAUCAAAAUCUCGUUAAUUAGGGAUAUAACCUUCUUCAUACAAAACAGGAAGAAAUCAAUUCACACCCUUACCUCAUCUGCUUCUGGAUCAGUAGGAUGGUUAGCUGCUUCUAUUAUGAAUUUGGCCUUCACAUCUGCAGCAUUUUCCCUUCAAAGGACAAAUGAAGAAACUUAGGAAAUUCUGUUGGAAAAAAUUAUAUAAAAAGAGCCAAUGCUACUUUCUUUCUCUAAUUAAUUUUUAUUUUUCCCAACAACAAAUCAUGCAAACUCAAAUCAUGUGUAACCAGCAUUAUCGCUAAACUAACUAAACAGUGAAGUAGAAAUAAACUUCAACCAUGCAACUUUUCUUGAUAGGAGCAUAUAAGGUGAGGUACUUAAAAAAUCCAGAUUCAACUCUUUGCCAAAGUUAAGUUCCACUUUCUACAAAGAUUUGUGGAUAGGGAAACUUUAUCAACCUAGAGACAACAUAUAUGUUCGUAACAAGUUUCUAAGUGAAGGGCCAUACCUCUUAAGAACUCCACCUAAAGCACAGGGGAUGAGAACAUCACACUCAUGCGCCAGAAGCUCGCUAGGCUCCAUGGAGUCUCCUCCAUCAAAAUCUUUCAAACUUCCAGUUUUGUCUUUAUGGGCUAACAAUUUGUGGAUAUCAAUUCCAUCUGCGUUCUUAACUGCUCCAGUUAUGUCACUUACUGCAAUAACUUUACCACCUCUCUCAUGAAUAAGCCUUGCAGCCCAUGAUCCCACAUUUCCAAAGCCCUAGAAAGUUCAUCAAUAAGAUUUAAAACAAUGAAACUAACGAAUCCUGGACAACAGACUGACAAAAGACAUGAAUAUUAACUCUACCUGGAUUACAAAUGUCAAAUCCCUAAUUGCCUGUCCAUGUUCAGCAAGUAGAGCUUCUGUAGCAUAAACGACACCACGCCCAGUUGCAGCCUCUCUACCUAGUGAUCCGCCAAGAUCCUAAACUCCAAAACAGAAACAUGAGAUAACGCAGGAGACAGAUUUCAUUUUAGUCAAAUUGUAGAUAUUUAUAUCAAAUCAACAACAUCAGAGAUUCUGAAGUGUGUACUUACAAUGGGCUUUCCUGUGACGACAGCAGGAGAGUGACCAUGAAAUUUUGAGUACUCAUCCAAAAUCCAUGCCAUAGUCUGUACAUGAAUAAAAGAAUAGCUAUGUUAAUUACAUGAGGAAAUGAUAAAAACAUAAAGAAAUGAAUCAUUGAAGAUUAUAAGACCUGGGCAUUUGUUCCCAUGUCCGGGGCUGGUAUGUCAGUAUGGAUUCCAAUGAGGUCAUGUAUCUUCUGAGUGAAAACGCGAGUUAGACGUUCCAGCUCACUGUUGCUUAAUUCUUUUGGGCUGCAUCCAAUUCCACCCUUUGCUCCACCAUAUGGUAUAUCUGCCACAGCAGUCUUCCAGGUCAUUAGUUGAGCCAGAGCAUUUACUUCAUCAGGAUCAACCUUUCAAAACAAAAUAACAUUGCAAUGUCAAAUGUAGAGCAACCAGUCAUAUACAAUUAUGUUUCCAGACACAUAAAAGAUUGCAAAAAAAAAAAUGUUUCAAAUAAAAUGCUAUAGCUUUGUUUGUAAUGACAAAAAUAUUUAAAAUGCAAAAGUUGAAGCAGAUUCACAAAACAUCAGAUGGUUAAAUUCCUGAAGGAUGGUGAAAUUAACUGCUAUAAUGAUAGAACUCAAGGGGCAUUUGGAAGAAAAUUUGGGAGGUAAAAUUCUUUCUCAGACAAUUUUAACAAAAAUUUUAAUACAUGCUUAUGAUUCAACUUUAUGAUCACAGAACAAACCUUCUUUCAGGGACGCUAAAUUGUCCAACUUUAAUAAGAAUAUGCAGAGUUUGAAAGAGAAGCACUACUAUUCAUAGCUGAAUACAGAGGAGCACUAGAUUUAUCACUAAAGGUACCCUCUAAUUAUAAACCAGUCCUGCCUCAAAGUUCAUUGCCUAUGUAACACACUGCUAUAUAUGUUACAUUAUCGAAAUCAAAUCCAGAUUUAACACUGGCCGGACUCUUCUCAUAACAAUCCUUUACAUAAAAUUAUGACAACAUAGAAUGUGUAAAGCUGUUCCAUUUAAUUAACUGAUAUAAUUUAUAGAUUCAAAAUUAAGCACAUUUAACAUUGUGCAUUAACCAGCUAUUCACCAAUGGGAUGUUUCCUAUUAGAGAUACUGAAACAACCUGAAAUUGUUUUGAAACUACAAAAACCAAUCUUUGAAAGCCAUUAUUAACGAAACAGUAUUGUUCAAGUACACAUCCAAACAAGCCCAUCACUGCAUGAAUUAUGAUUUAAUUAAAAAAAGAAAUCCCGACUAAAAUCUAAAGUUUAAAAAGAGAGAGAGAGAGAGAGAGCAAAAGUAAAAAACCAAACAAAUUAGUAAAAUAUCUUUAUGUAAACAGAAACAAACAAAAUAGAAACAGACACAAAAGCCACCAACCAAAAAAGCAAAGCAAAGCAAAGCAAGAAAGCCACGCACCUCAGGAUGAUAUCUGAUGCCUCCCUUCAUGGGCCCACGUGCGUUAUCAUGCUGUACUCUAAAUCCAACGUACGAAACCAGACUUCCAUCAUCUUUGGGGAUAGUGCACUCCACCUGAUCAUUAACAAAACAACACACGAACAUGAACCAUGAUCACAACCACAACAAGGACCAAAACAAAAAUUGACCCAUUAGCUGAAAAAGGACCGGUACGCACUUUGAUCUCUCUAAAAGGGAUCAGAAGACUCCUCUCAAGCUUAGAGUCAAGCCCAAGAAUGCGUGCAGCGUUGCGAAAGUUACGGCUCGUUGCUGCAAGAGCGUUCAUGACGAUGAUUCUGAAACUUUCGAAACAAGUUAAAAGAGAGCUAAAACCACUGAUGGGGCUUUUGAACAAGAAUAUAUGAAUGAAUGAAUGAAUGAAUUAGCUUUUGUGAAUGCGAAUGUGAAUGAAUGAAAGCUGAUGUCCGGAGAAUUGGGGGUAUUAUAUAGGGGAGCUGCCAUGUGAUUUUCCUUCUGUGAGACGGGAGGAAUGCACCGGUUUUGGAAAUUAAUUAUUAGGUAGGAUUUUUUGAAUUUGUCUUCCCUAGUCUGGGUACACUUUUCGAGUUUUACAAUUACAUUUUUAUCCUUCAGUCAUUCAAUGCAUUAAUUAUCUUACCCUCCGUCAUUAAUUAGUCUUCAUGAUUUUCAUGAUAUUUUAUUUUAAUUUUCAAAAAAAAAUUUUAAGCAGCCCAGCUCAAAUAUUCAAAGAAUUUAAAUAAAAUAUCCUCUUUAUUAAGCGAAAGAUUUGGAAUUUAAAAAUUAAAUAUUUUAUAUAAAAAUUAAUAUAUAGAUUUUUUUAAUUACAUCAUAAUCUACUCAUAUAUAUGAUUAAAAAUCUAUCAAAAUCUCAUGGAUGAACUAUCUGAUAAAAAUUUGUGGAUAAUAAGCCAAAUUACCGUUUAGUCCUCUAAGCUUGAUUCAAAUCUCAAUUUAAGUAUUUAAUCUUUUCCAAUUCAAAUUUGAUGGUAAUUACUAAUUUCUAUUACGGAAGGGUAUUUUGGUAAAAAUAUCGUAGGGGGUAAGGGCAGAAUAACAGUCGCCAGUGCACGUGCAUCAAUUUUGGCUGGGUGGUAACCAAGAGCAGGAAUCAUGGAGACUUUGCUGCAUUAAAAUUUAUCGUCCACGAUAUUGGUACAAUCCGGACCGUCCCUUCCUAUUAAGAUUAGUCCAGAAAGCCAUCUAAGCCGUUGACUUGUCAUAGUCUGACUCACAUAUGACACACUGUUGAUCCAAAUCCAUAACAUUUUGGUUGCUGACAACUCAUCAGUUGUUUCGCUUUGUAAAAGCAUUUAACCGGUGACGUCAAACUUGUCUGGCGUUGGCAAUGACGUGGCGCUCGGACCCAAAUUCACACACGCGACUCGCCGCGUCCAACUGUCCAGCUCGUAAUUGGAAAUUUGUUUUAAUUUAUUAUUGUUAAAUUUUUCUAUAUUAUCUCAUAAUUUGAUAAUUUAAUUCAAGAGUUAUUUAAUUGGUAACUUAUUUAUUUAUUAAAAUACAGAUAAAUUUCCAUGAUUUCAAUUAUCGUCAUGUUCUUAUCUUAAAAUUCUAUUAGAGUUUCUUCCAAAAACAUCCCACUACUUUUAUAAAAAUAUCAAAAAAUGUCUUGUAUAUUUUUUUUAUAAUAAAUCAUAUUCGAGGGAGCUUAAUAUUUAUCCUUAGACUUCUUUCCAUACAGCUUUUUAAAUAGAGUUUAUUUAAAUUAAAUUUUUACUAAUAAAACUUUUGCAAGUAGAGUUUUACCAAAUAUAUUAAAAUUGUUUAGUUAUUAAUGAGAAUUUUUAUUAAAAAUAAUAAAAUUACUUCAAUGGAUAAAUUUUUUAAAGUUAUGUUAUGAAAAUUAUGAAUAUUUUAGAUAAUUUAACUCUUUAAAAAAAAUUCUAAAACCUUUACUUUCAAAAGUCUAAAAUUUAAAUUUUUACUAGUAGAAACCAAACAAUACUAAAAUUUUUGAAAAGAACUUAUAGAAUUAAAUAAAUAUUUUUAACAAAUAGAUCAGCCAUAUUAAACAUGCACUCAAAACAAUUCUAUGAAGAUAGAAACAUAUGAAGUUAAAUGAUGUAAUGUUAACACGAUACAUAACUAAUUUAGUCAGCAUAUAAACUGAUGUGAAAAGAUUGGAAAAAUAUAUGGUAUUUUGAUUCAAAUAGUUUUAGCUAGAGAUUAGGUAGGGCAGCACCGCAGCAGUCCAUUGCCGCGUCACAGCCAUUACAUUAAGUCCUCCUAAUCUUAUCCUUCAAGAUUAUUUAAUUCGGACAGCUGAGAAGAGAUAACGGCGUUACCAAGAUUUGAAAGCAGCGACGUCAAAGCAUAAGAUUCUGAAAUACGAACAUUCCCUUCUCCCCCAGAUACCGCUAUCCCCAGAAACUCACCAUAUAAUUUCGAUAGUCUAAAUCAAUUCGAUUUUGAACUUUGACAGUGGGAGAUAAAUUUGACUAGAAUAGUCAAGUUUACAAUAAAUCAAUACAAGAGGGUGAGAGAGCACAUCACAUUCAAUGUAUGUACUUCUUGAUAACCAUAAAACAAAAUAAAAACUACUGAUGCCCAACAUUGGAAGCGCUGACCAGAAAUUAACGAUUCGCUGACCUUGAGAGAAAUUAAGAAUUUGGGGGUGUUAAAAUGUGAUGAUUACGAGCCUCCCACCGACCAAAAUGAAAUCAGCCCCUUGAUAAAUAGAUGAUAGGCCUGAAGAAUGAUCUCCACUCAUAUGCUCUGAUUCAAUAACCCUUAUAAUCCUUGUAUCAUCAAUAUGCAUUUCUGUUAUCAAUGAACACACAAGGAAAUAAGUAGUUACUAUAGCUACACAAACUCACAAAUUUCCAACUUAUAUCUAGGAACCAGAUUUAAACAGAACCAACUGGAGGUAAAGAUUUUAUGUGAGUUAAACAAUAUUUUGUCUCUUAGGAAUAAUGAAUACGUUGUGGUCAAACUCUCUUGUGAUUUGAAAACCACAUAGUGGCCAGCUUAGAACUUUUUUGCAACCCAACUUGAACCAGGAUUACUCUACUGGAAAAGGGAUUUACACCAGAACCAGAAUCUUUUUCCUUUUCACCCGUGAGUGUGUCCAAUACCAAAACAAUAACACACCCAAGAAGAUUCCAUGUUAUGAACAAAAAUCAGUAUGAGGAAACCAAGGGUCAUUUUAUUGAUUGAGCCACACAAACACACAGUGAAUUUCUUUACAUCAUGAGUGGGGACAUACAGCAAAAUACUAGUUUCUGAAUCCUCACAUAAUGCCUCAAUGAACUAGUUAAAAGGCAUCAAUGUGCUUAAGACUAGGUUACAACCACAUUAUCUAAAUAACCUCCCCAACCUGAUAGCAUUUUCAGAUGCCAUCUUUAGAAAACACAAAGCAUUUGAGAAUCCCAUUCAUCGUCAGAUAGUGAUCACAGCACUACAUUGCAUUUAUUGAAACAUCAAAUAAAUUGGUCGUACAAGAAAUAUUUUAUCAGCAAUGAAGAAAAACAAUGCAAGAUUAAAUAGAGAUAUCAAUUUCACAAAGUAUCCAAAAAGAAAUGAUCACAUAUUCGGUGUAGAAGCUGCAAGAACAAUUUCAAAAUCUAUACAUAUAGAAUAAAUGACUAUUCGGCUAUUCCCUCUUCAAAUCACAUAAACUGAUUGGAAUAAAAAAGAUUACCUCAUAAGUUUAACGCACAGGAAUGUUAUGCCAAUUCAACCAUCUUUCCUGUAAAAAUUAACAACUAAAAUGUAUCAAAAUGUGCAUCAAAAUGUCAAUCUUUCUAAGCAAUAAUAACAGUUCAAUUGACUUAAAUAAAAAAGGUGGGUAUUUUUUAUUACUCGACAAAGAAGAAAGUGGUUUUAUUCUAGAAGACUGUACUGUACAUACUUCCUUUUUCUUCGAUCAAUGCUGCUACUCCUCAUAUCAUUUUUCAUCAGAGCUGAUCCUGGGGGAAUUCCAUACUGCAUAGGAGAAAGGGCUGGCCCUGGAGCAGCUGUCACAGGAGUCAGCACAGGUGGUGCAGGUGGCAGAGGUGGAGCAGCAGCAGGUGGUGGAGCCUCAGAAGGUUCAGGAAGAGGCCUUGGUAAAAUGUGCUUUAGUCGAUUGUUUCUAUAGUUCUUCCAGAAAAAGAAUUGCUGCCUAUGUGCCAACUCCUGAAAAUUUACAGGAUACAAAAAGAGAAUAUGAACACUUUAAAAAUAAACAUUAAAUCAGGUUUUGUCUUAAUAUUAGAUUAUCGGAUCUGAAUUUCUCUAAAAGAAAAUAAAGUGACUUCAUUUUUAUCUCAGCCAGCCAAUCACUUUUUUGAUAGUGAUAUUAUAAGGACAGCAGAGAAUACCACCAAAAAAUAUUGUUGCACUGGGAUAUUAUCGAAGGCGCCACUAGCACACCUUAAGAAGCAUUUUAUAAUUAACUUCCCAGAAAAAAAAGUCCAUGAAAGAUAUAUAUGAUGGUUAAGAUCAAUCUCUUUCCAUGAGAUCACUCUCCAAAAGGUCAACACAGAUGGAUCAUAAUCCACAAAAUGUUAUAAUAUCAUCAUAUACAGUGAUAGCAGGAUGCAGCAGAAAACCCUAAGGUAAAUGCUACACCUGUAAAUACACACACAGAACACCUGACACAAAUAUCAUCUAGCAAAGGAAAGAGAAUAUACGUCGGCUGUGAUAGUUAAAAUCUAUAAACAAAAUCCUUUGUCAAAUAGUAUAUCCGUUGUAUGUGCUCAUGGUCCUAAAUGCCAAUGCAAUGAAAAUUCUAAGAAUAUUUUUCCCAAAAAAAAAAAAAAAAUUGUCAAGGAAAAAAUCUAAACACCAACUGAAGACAUAUUUGACUUCUAUGAGGAUCAUGACUGCUUACAAAAGGUAAUUUAACCAACAAACAAAAUGACUUUAGAAGCACACCCAAAAGGGUCACAGUAAACAACAGAGUCUAACCUUGUUGGCAGGAUGUGCCAUAGCAUUGCGGAAGUUUGCAUUUUGUAGAAGUUCAAGAAAAUAGAGGCAAUGUGGAUACCUGAAAUCAUCCUAGAAGAUAAGCACAAGAAUAGAAAUGUACCGCAGGUUCCAAAAGAAAAAUGAAGAAUUUUUCUAAUCAAAUAUGAAGAUAAUAAGUCUCCUUCUGUCUAUAAACUAAGUCAGAUCUAGAAACACAAGCCUAAAAGUACUUUAUACAUCAUGCUUUCAAGAAAUUAGCUCACAUUAUAAAUUUAAUGUACUCCGGCCGUUGCCAGUACUGAAGAUAUUUCAAGUAACCAAUGAAAGCCUCGUCUUCAAAAUAGCGAUUCUGAGCCAAAUCUGCAAUAGAAAUUUGAGGUCCAAAAUAAGCUUGUAACUGAAUCAAAACCUGAAAUCUAUAGAAAGAGUAAAAAUAGCUAACCAAUAACAUUAGCGAUAAUUUCCUAAAGCUACCGGACAUGUAUGAGCAAGGGUACACGAACAAGUUCGUGAUCAAUGCAUGCACAGAGUACGGUUUAUGGCCAGAAAGACAAGUAAAACAAGAGGUUAAGACACAAAAUGUUAAAUAAUCGAACCCUUCAUCAACCACUCCGGCCAUGAUUACCAACAUAUAUUCGAUGAAAAAAAAAAAAUGAAAGCACCCAAUGCUACCUAGCCGUUGCAAAUAAAGAAUGCAGAUACACUAAAUAAAUAAAUAAUUUUUAAAAAAAUAGUGAAUUGCACAUACAGUGAAUGUAAGUGGGAUUAGCUAGACAUUGAACGAAUUCCAGCUCAAGCAAAAAGCGUUGUCUCCCGUCGUCUGGAUCUUUAUAUACCUUCUUUGGCCUGAAAAUUCUCUCAAAAUAAACUAAUUAAUAAACUUUUCUGAGACUGAAAGAGAUUUAAAAAUUAAAAAAAAAAAAAAGAACGGAUACUUACGAGGAUGGGGCAUCGGAUGCUUCUUCGUUAUCCUUGGAAGCCGCCAUCUUAUUUUAUCACUUUUUACAAAUUGAAAAUUAAUUUUAAAAAAUUAUAUCAAUUGGAAGAUUAACAGAAAUAGCAGUUUGCAGGAAGCUUUUAAUUGUGAAACAAAGAGGAGAAGAGCGUCGACCAUCGAGCAAUGUGGUAAGCGCCUCCAAUUCUAGCAUUCAAUUGGGCAGCACAAUUUGAAGGCCCGGGAUCAGGUCCACACACAUAGGGCGCAACCUUAAGAGUUAGACUAUUGGCACACCUCUUAAAUUCUCUUAAAACCCCUCGUUUUUUUUAUAUAAAAAUACCCAUUUCCAAAUCGACACUAUUUUCGUUUUAAUUUUUAAUUAAUUUUUCACUCUUAAAAUUCUUUUAAGCUAUUUUCAUUUCUCGAUCUUGGUGGUUUUUGUAUGAUUAGAACUCCACGUUUGCAGGUGAUGUUAAUAUCGUUAGCAUUGGGUCUGGAACAAUUUGGUUUGUUCAUGUGGCCAAAUCAAAUUUAUCUCGGAAGGUUUCACUACUAUCAUUAGAGAUAACAUUACUGUUCGCGGCUCAUGGACAAUCAUCUUUGAACUGUAGCAGUGAGACUGGGGUUGGGUUUUAUUUAAAAGUUCUUGAAUUACGAUUAUCAUUUAAAAUGAAAAUAAUCAUCAUGCAAAUAAAGAGAGAAGAAAGAAACAAAGAAAGAAAAAGAGCAAAUUUUUUUUUUCCCCUUGAAGAAUACAUACUUAAUUGAAGAAAGAGAAUAAAAUAAGCGGGAUUAAUUCUAUUUGUGUUUGUCCUAAAAUGCAAUUAUAACAUCAUAAAGGUUUUAUAAGAUUGAUGAAAGGGUGGUAUCAGUCUAACUCCUCUUAAACAAAUGUGAUUAUCAAGUUAUUAGAGUAUACCAUGCUAAAGUUCUAUACUCUUUUGUCAUGCAUGUAUUUAUAGUGCUGUACAAUUAGGAUCAAAUCGUAUAUGAUCACUUAUCAGAUAACCACUUAACACUAAAUCGUAAUGCACUUAAGUUUGAUCUAUAAAAUUUUAAUUGUGCACACUUGAAGAGUGAAAAGUAAAAGAAUUAUUAUUUUUGGUCAUAUAACAAUGAAAGAAUUGUGAAAGCCUUAACUGUGUCCCUUGGUUUUAAUUUUUUAGGGUUUGUUCCAUAUCAUUUAAAAAGUCUAUUUUUAUUUUCAUUGUCAAAAUACAAUUAGAGUAUGUAUUUAGCAACGUUUUUAAGAGAAUAUAUUUAUAAAACAUAAAAUAUAAGGUGCACAUUUUAGUCAUAGAGCGUGUUUGGGAGUAAUGUAAAGCAGCUAGACUGUCAAAGGUCAACUGCUAAAGUAUUACAUCUUGUAAUUGAAUUUUAACAACUCAACAACUUAAAUACCCACAAUUAUGAUUUUUAUUUCACAGUAACUGUAGAUUAGAAACUAUAGAACCUCACUUUUAAAUGCAAUCACCGAUUAGGAAAUAACUUAAAACUUUUAUUAGCUUUGAUGCUUAUACUUCUCCAUUUUAAUCAUCAUUUUUUUAAUGAUAACUCCCGCCCCGGCUCGGACUGUCGGUCCACUGAUCUGAACCGGCUGGGCUCUAAAUUGCGGGAUCAGUCGGGGUCACCAGUCUGAUGACCCGAGAGACAAUUAAAGGCAGAUUUUUUAUACUCACUAAGAGAAUUGAACCUGUUACCUCCAUUUUAGUCAUCAUUAUUCACUCAAAAAACAAGCUUUGCCAAAUUCUUGUGUAUGGUCUCCAAUAUUACCUCAAUCUCAAUAGUAAAUCACCGGAAAUGGGAACUUCAAAAGAGAAACUAGCUCACAAAAUCCUCUUUGCACAUCAACCUGAAGCAAGCAUGUAAGCCGAAGGGAUGCAUCUGUAAAGAACAAAAACAUUGAUGUUGUAGGCUUUCUUUUCCCAUGAUACAUGACAUGGCGUCUCAGAAAAUUUUCACUCGCAACACUUUUAUCUGAAUAAGAUCCUUGCUAGGGUUAGAAUCACCGUAACUAACCUUAAAAAUGUAUUGAACUAGAAAAACAUGAAUUCCUUGGCAGGUAAACUCAACAACAGUAUGAACCUUAAAAUGCCCAAUCUAAGAUCAAGAGUUCACAAAUACAUGAAAAACAUUUUUGUUACUACAACAUCUGCAUUUCUGCCUUUCUUCUAUCCCUUUCCAAAGCAAGCAAAUGCAGGACUUCCAAGUAAAAUUAAAAUCCAUAACUGCUGCAGGCAAAGCCCUCCAGGAAGGAGCCAGUUGGCUUCCACAUGCCAAUGAUGAUACAAAUGCUUUUUUCUUCCCCAAAUUACAGAUAUAAUGACACGACUGUCUAAGAAUGAAUUUGGACCAAGACUAACAUGAGAUACCACCAUUAGUAUGGCCUGUACCUCAUGGGUCGUCUGAACCUUGGAAUCCUUCUGCACAUAAGGAGAAUCAAAUUAAUUCAUAAAAAAAUUAGCAGUAGAGUGGGGAAAAAAAAUCAGCUUUACAAUGUCUAGAAAGAGAAUCAAAAGUAAAGCUUGGAGUUCCUAGGAAUCAAUGAAAAAAUAAUAGUAUAAUAUUCUCUUGUGCAUACACAAUCAAACAAUCCAUGAAAACAAAUCCCAUGUAGCAUAAAUACACCACACUGAUGCAAUUUUUCAUUUCAUUCACAAAAACCUACGCCUCAUAAUGAUAUUACUCAGUUACACAACACUAAUAAAAUAAUUUCACAUGCAAAAGCAUCCUAAAGGAAAGCAAAAACCAAAAAUAGACUGGCAGACACAUCACAGAAAAGGGUUAAUGUGUGCCCUUAAAAGUACAAAAGUUUUCUAGUCCUUACCCAUACCCAUAUGGAACAAAAGGAACACCAGGAAUGAAUGGCCUUCGACCUCGGAAACCAAACGUGUUGGGUCGCCUUCCUCGGAAUUGUUUCAUACCAGGAAUGUUGGUUCGCUUAGCAGAGACCUGCAAAUAAACCAGACCCAACAUUAUAAUCACAAGCCGAUUCAUACUGUAAUCAACCACCAAUAAUCAAAUCUACAGACCUUCAAUUGUCGACCAUGGAGCUCUGUUUCAUUUAACAAAAGAGCAUUCUGAACAGCAUCAAUUUCAACAAACUCAACAUAAGCAAAUCCUUUUGGUUGACCAAACUUGUCUGUCAAAAUCGUCACUCUGUUAACCGUUCCACAAGAUUGAAAAUGCUGCUGCACUUCCUCAGGAGUGCAUGCAUAGUCUACCUGAAUUGCACAAAUACUAAAAAACUGUAAGGAAGUAACUCUCUUUGUCUACAGUUUUGAUGUUGCCCAUAUUGAAACAGCACAAGCGUAAAAGAGAGUACAAACUCUAAUGUGAAUAUCUAACAUUGAUUAGUUAUUGGACAAUGAUUGGUUGACUGAAUUAUACUAUUAGAAACAUUUGUAGUAUCUAUGUGUAUAAAAUAAAAGACAAUGUUGUUAGAGCUACUAUUUCAUAUUUCAAUAUUAGAAUUCAUUUAUAAUCUAUAAUUCACAGUUCAAGUUAAUUAUCACUUCUUAAUACAACUAAAUUUGACAAACUUACCAAACAGAAACCACUAAAACUAAAAUAAAUCCUCUUCUUACACAUAAGUUGUAUUGUCCAGAAACAGAAAUAAAUAAGGACGGAAACCUCACAUUGCCAACAUAGAUUGAUCGGGAGUCCACCUCCUCCUUUUCAGCCUGAGUUGCAGAAGUACUCGAGGAAUCUUCAAACAUGCCCAAGAGGGAACAAAAAAUAUAUAUCAACAAUCAUAUAAGCGAUCUAAAGGAACAAAACAUUUAACUUCAAAAUUUACCCAAAAAAACACUACAAGAAAACCAAAAUAAGGUAAGCCAACUACUUGAAAUCAAGCUGUCACAUACAUUUUUCAAAAAAAAAAAAAGUAUCAAAACUGUUUAAAGAUCAGUCAUUUAUUAUAUACAUCAAUUACGAGGAAGGUCAAAGAAAACAAAACAGGAUUCAUAUUGACGGCAGAGACAUAGUGGAUAACUCAUCAAGAUGGCUAGGUCAUAAAAGCAAUUCUCAACCAAACGAUCAGAACCUAUUAAUCAGUAACCCAUGCUUCUUAUAUUGCCAAUAAAACUGGAACACGAAUAAAUUCAAACAAAGUAAGUCAGACUUAAGAAAGUGAGUAGCACACUUGCUCUUAUUAGGUCUCCAAAAUCAUCUAAAAUUAUCACUAAAACAAGUACACGUAACACGAAUCCAGAUCUUAAAUUCAAAUUUGUUACACAAUUAAACAAUUAGAUUACAGAAAGAAAGAAACCUUGGACGGCGCCCAUCUCCUUCUCGACUUUAGCCUGCAUUUCGCGGAGCGCGCCGGCUUCCUCUUCAAUCUCCUUCAGCCUCUUCUUCAUAUCCUCCAAGUCCUUUAUUUUUUUAAAUUAAAAGAAAUUAAAAUUAUGAACAAAAAUCAAUCAGAAUCCGCCAAAACACAAACACAUAAACAGAGACAAAAACGCCUAAAGAAAAUACCUUGGAGUUAGCGUUCGGGUCUUCUUCAUUUUCAUUGUCGGCGUCGUGUUCGUGUUCGUGGUCGUGGUCGUGGUCGUGUUCGUGUUCGUGUUCGUCGACGUCGAUGUCGGCGUCCAUCUCGUCGGGGAUUUCACCGCCGUAAACGUCGUGCUCUUGCUCAUCGUGUUGCUCCAUUUUAUAAUUUUCUAAAUAUUUUUCUUGUGUGGCUUCGGGUUUUUUGAAGGUUUUUAAGUUCUACUUUGGUUUGCGGUUUAGGGAUUUAGAAGCUCCCUCUUGUUAUUGGUGAUCUAUUCUGUGGAUUGGGGACGAUGGCUCUUUUGUAGUUGUAACGACCUUAUGGGGGUACAACGAUAUUUCAUUACAAGCCUUUGGUAAUUUUACAAAUAAUUUGGGGUACAAUUGAUAUUUAAUUAUGAAACGUUAUUUUCUUUCUUUUUAACCUUUUUUCUCUUGAGAUAGGAUUCAUUGAAGCAUGAAGAAAGCUCGAAGUGGUGAAAAACUUUCGUCCACGUGCGUCAAUCCACAAUAUACAGGCGAUGUUUCAUAUGCGUUUUAUGGAAAUGUCGUUUAUGUGACGAGAUUAUAAACGACACCUCAUAUAUUAGUGGCUAAAGAUUUUUUUUAAUUGAUAAUAAAAAUUAUUAUUCUAUAAUUAUUAUUAAAGAAUAAUAAUUACGCUUGAAUUAAUAUUUAAUUAAAUAAAUUUUUUAAUAUUUAUUCUAUGAUACUCAAGAAAAUAUAUGCAAGAGAAUUUUUUGUUAUAUCGGAUUUGAAAAUUUAUUAAUUAAUUUUUAACUGGUAUCUCUAUGAUAAAAUUACACAUGUAAUAAUUAAAUAUGUAAGAUUUUGACACAAAUUUGGGUCAAACCUACAAAAGAAGGGGCUGUAAUUAAGUUAAGGGUAAAUUUCAUAAUUUCUCUUGAAUUGAUUAUUUUUAAAAUGUCCCUUUACGUUUUAAGAUCUCAAACUACUUUUUUUUUCCUUACAAAAAAUAAGAAAAAAUACUGAUGGAUUGACGAUUUUUUGUUUGUUUGUUUUCUUAAUAAAAAUUGACAGUAAAUUAAUAUUUUUUAAAAAAUAAAAGAAUAAUUUAAAAAAUAAUCAAUUCAUAAGGGGGUAAUUUGAAAUUAACCCUUAAUUUAAUUAGAUCAGCCUGCAAAGAUUGUGCUUCUAUGAAAAUUGCACAGGGAGGGAAAAUAGAUGUGCACAUGGAGAAAAUAAAUUUAAUCUAAACUUCUAUAAUUUAAACUUGUGCAUCUAAACAGAGGAGAGCUGAAACAAGUAAUCAAUAGAAAAUAUCAAACACUUGUAGCAGUGCUUGUUAGCUGAGAAAAUGACCGAGAGAAAAUGGAAAGGAAAAUCUGAGAGAUGAAAGAAAAAUUUUAUAUAUUAACUGAGAAUUGCGAAUAUGAUCUACAUAAUGCUGAGAAUACAAGGAUAUUUAUAGUAGAGCACCUUAUUAUAGUAACAAAUUGAGCACUGCAGUUUUAUUUGCCACGUCAUUAACACUCGACUGUGGUGCUUGACAUAAGCACAAAACCAGCCAUGUAUGCAGGAUUUCUCCACCGGAAUCACCGCCCCACGGCCGCUGGGGCCGCGGCGGGUAGAGAAAAAAACGAGGCUAAGGAAGAUGAUUGCGAAGACAAACACAUGAAUUCCGAUGUUUGGUAUCUUCACUUCAGACAUAUUUCUUUGUUUUCUCAAUCUAUUACUAGUUUGGCGAUGAAGGGAAAGGGUUUUAUUGGCAUGCAAUUUAUAAGAAAAUUUUAGCGAUUAGCGGAAUUUAAUCGAGUAAUUUUCAAAUAGUUUUAUUUGACUGAACAUCUAAAUUCGAAUCUUAAAGAGAUUAGAAAAUUAACUUAGCUAUGCUCUCCUCUAUCUUAAAAGAAUGAUAAAAUAAUAAUUCAAAAAUGUAUAUUGAAAGAGUUUGGAAUUUUCUUGUUGCGGCUAACUGUUAACAAAAGUAAACUCCAUUGUGUUGCAUGAAUAACAGAAAUUAACGGAAUAUCAUUAAAAAUAUAAUCUAACUGAGAGGGCAGCAUAUAUAAGAACCGUUCGUUUGUUUCCAAGAGCCGCCUAAGGUUGACUAGAUUCACUUUAAGUAAAAAGAACCGAAGUUUGAAGUGUUUGGUUCCAUCAAAUUUUCGGACGGUAAUGAUUAGAGUAUAUGAGUUGCAUGCUGUUUUCAUUCAAUCAAUAUUAAUGUUAUAUCAUACUAGUUUAUACUAAAUGUUUUGACAUUUUUGUACAUAAUCUUACUUCACAGUUAUUAUUAUUAUUUAUCUCAAACAACUGUAGGGUAAAUUUAUAUUAAUCACUUCUGACUAACGUUGCAAAUUAACUUAAUCUAGAUAUUUUAGAAUUGUAGUUUAAAGGCACCAUUGCUAGAGAAUUCCGCUCUAUCUGAUUGAGUUAUAGUCCCUCAUUUUUGUGAUACAUAUUAAUUAAUAUUAUCACUUUAUCAGACCAAGAUGAAUAUUCCGUGGUCUCUACACCAUAUUUCUUUGAUCUUCUUUACCAGCAUUACUUACAAGUUCUAUUAAUUUCAUUUGUAUUUCCACCGAUGGGAUGUGAUGGAUAUAGUUUUCCAUUUUUUGUUAUGACGAUGCACCAUAUGAUAUCACAAUUCCACAAUUGAAACAUGUAGUGUACCCAUUUAGAUUUUAAUUUCAUCAAAGGAAGUUUCAGAAAAAAUGAUAAUAUUUUGUUGAUUUAUACAUUUAGUAUUUUCAAAAUAAUUAAGAGUGUCACCUCGUCAAUGUUGUAUUCGUUAAUAUCUAACUGUUUAUUUUAUCAAUUUUCAACUAUGUCAAUCCAUCUAUCAACUCCGUGACAAAAACAAGUGAAGAUAAACGCCAAAUAACCAAUAAAUUAAGACAAUAAUUUCAUUAAAAAAUAAAGGGUAUUUUUCAGCUACAUUAUCUUCAUCAUAAUAUUGACAAAAUAUAAUUAGUAAGAAUCCCAAGGUGUCCACUGAAUUAUAAAAAGUUUCGAAAGGGUAUCAUUAUUUAACAACAUUUUUGUUGGCUUAUGAACUUUAUUUAUUUAUUUUCCAUUGAUAUCUAUAUACUAAAACUAUUUAAUGAUUAAAUAAGGUGAAAGUAACUUUGGUCAAACCCAUAAAUGGAAGAGAUUAAGAAAUUCUAAUUAGUCAGUGUUUACAUUUUGAAUUGAAGUGGAAAUUUUAAAAUUGUGAGGGUGGAGUAAGAGUGAGAGUAGGUUGUUUAUUUAUAUUAGAAUAAGAAUAUGAAAUCGGAAUCAGAAUUAAGUUUAUGUGAUUACCUUGUCUUGGAUUGGGAGUAAAUAAUUUUAAAUAUUUAUAAUUUUACCCUUAUUUAAAGAAUUAUAGUUUUUAAUUACAAAAUUAAUAAAAAAUAUAUUUAAAAAAUUGGGUUCAUGGAGUGAGAUUUGUUGGGAUUAUAUGCUCUUUUAAAGCAUAUUAAUUUAUUUUUCGAUUAAUAAAAUAUUUGAGAUAUUUUCAAUUGCAUAAAUAUAUAUUGAAUAAGGUCCGUUUAAUAAUAUUAUAUGUAUUUAUGUGAUCAUCAUAUGGAUUCACAGAAGAUAUAAAUACAAGUUAUCUUAUGAUUAAAUAAAUUUAGUUCGCAGUUGAUAAAUAGAGUUGGACGCUCUAUUUAUGUUUAGACUGUAGUAAAUUCAUUGAAUGAUUUGUUUUAAUCAUAUAUGAAUUUGCUCAAUGUAGUUUGACUACAUUGAGCUGGAUCACAUAUGAGAUUUCAUUAACCUUGAAAUGACUGUUAGACUUAUUAAAUCUCAUAAGCAUUGAUUUUACUGUAAUCUUAAUCUUGAGUUAGUUAUGAUUUCAUGAUUGUAAUUGUUAUUCUAUUUGAUUUACCAAUGGGCACGACACACACUUGCGGUCAAGAUUACCCAGUAUCUUGGUGGGAGCAAUUAUGAGUAUUGAAGUUAUAGAUUAACAAUAUAGAAUUUGUACAACACUCUUUUGAUGGGUUUUCUGCACUUGAUCAUAGAAUUCUCUGGCCAGAGUGUGUGAACAUAUUUAGUAUGUUGAAAAUGAUCAUCAGAGAAAACCAGUAAGUAUCAAGAAAUAAGAUUUAAUUAAAUCGAUUGGACAGUUAAGAUAUCAAUUUAAUUAACGAUGUGGUACAAAGGAUUAUGCAGUAAAGAAAUCGAUAUGACUUGGGACAAACUAUUAUUCGAGUAUACAAUUAAGGAGGUCAAUUCCAGUCUUUUAGUGGAGUAGAUUUGAAAUUAAAUAAUUGAGAUAGUUUUAUUACAUGCAUAAUUAUUAUAGCCACUAUUGUAUGUUCCCAAAUGAUCCCCGGGUUAGCUCAUUUAAUUGACUGCGCCAUUACUGGAUUAAUAAGCAAGAUAACUAGUUAUUUGGGUUAAAAGUCUAAAUAUAUUAUUUUGUGAGAGGCUCUAUGUAAUGUACUUGUGUCUAAGGGGUCUUGUGUUGUUUUAUAAGGUGGACCCCUAUGACAAGAAAGAAGUAAGUUACUUUUGGUUUAAUAUUUUUAAUUUAAAUCAAACUUGAUUUAAUAAAAUUAAAUAGUAUUAAAUAUGGAGCCUAGGGUUUCCACUAAAUAGAUAUAUAAAAAAGUUUAUUUUCUCUUGAAAAUAGAGAGAGCCGUAUUAUACAAGAUUAGAGAAAAAUAUUUUUCUCUCUAAUUUUGAGAGAAAAAUUUUCUCGUCCUAGUUGCUUUAGUGGUGAUAAAGGUGCUCACACGUCAAGUGCAGAUCAAACUUGAGUUAUAGCAUGAAAGAUUAUUUGUUAGAGGAUCGUGAUAUAAUAAGAGUGGUUGUGACAGAUUGUGAUCUAACAAGAGUGAUGAUGACAUAUCGUGAUCUGGGAGCCUAAAUCACUUCGGCGAAAAAAAAAACCAAAUCGGAUUUUCAAGGUACGAUUUCUAGAUUACAUAUUCUUAUAUAUUGUAUGAGAGCGAUCCUAAAAAAAUUAAAAAAAAUUGAUUUUUCUCCAACAAGAUUCUCAUCCCCCUUAAAAUAUGUAAAUAAAUACUGAAGUUGGAGAAAUAUACACUCCUCAUUCUCACUCUAAUAAGUAAACAUAACAUUAAUUCAGAAUAGUUUGUAAAGAAUAAUGUGCUCUUAAGAAAAUUGCUAGAGGGAAAAUUGUAAAAAAGGAAAAAAAAAUCCACAGGGAGAAAAUAAAUUUACUCACACUAGCCUUCUCUUUGCAGUAGUUGUGCAUAGCGCUCAAACAAUUAGUAAUUGGAAUUAAUAGAAUUGCAAAUAUCAAACACUUGUAACAGUGUUUGUUAGCUGAGAAAAUGAUGGGUGAAAAUAGAAAGGAAAAUUUGAAGAGUAACGGCAGUAAAUGAUUAAAGUUCUGUAGUUUCUCACAUAAAAAUUUUAACUCCAGAGAUAUAAUUAUGUGGAGAAGAUUAAGGGAUUAUUUGUUAAAUAUCUGAAAUUUUAUUAAGGGGAGAGACAUUUCCACCCCAUUAUUUCAUUAUUUGUAUAAUAACACCCUGGUUCAAUAUAAAUAUAGUUAAUACCAGAUUUACCCCAAGAACAACGAAUUUAUUCAUUAUUUAUAUUCUCUUUAUUUACGCAAGUUAUGUUUGCUAAUUGCUAAAUUGAAAAAAAAAAAAAAAACAACAACACUGGUCCCUGUCUUUCACUCCAAGCUAAGCAUAAUACAGAACUCAAUUAAUUAUUUGGUGGCUCUGGUUCUAAUCCUUGGACGCUAAAGUGCAGAGGAGUACUUUUACGAAAAUACUGCAACGCAAAGAAAUCAUCCUAAAAUUUAAAUGACGAGAGAAUUUGAGAGCUGUACUAAAGAAAGAGUUCAACAAAACAAAAGACUGCAAAAAAAUGGAUGACUAUAAAUUGACUUUAAAAAAAAAAGAAAGAAAUAGAGAAAAGUAGUUCUUAUACAGAGGGUAAUAGGGUGGGUUCGGAGACAUCUCUGAACCGAAAGCAUCUCCGAAUCCGCCCCCAUAAUCAAAAAUUCAAUUUGAAUUAGGAACUACAAUUACCCAUCUUCAUAGCUUCCAUUUUUUUUUUUAAAGUUUCAAUUUUCAAAUGCCAUCAUUUAGUUGAUUUCAUGGAUUAAAUAGCUGAUGUUUUGGUAGCUAUCUCAGUGAAGAAACCCGGUAGACUUGAAACUAAGUUAAGAAUGAUGUAGUUAUUUAAGGUCAAAAUUGCAAUUACAAUAAAAAAAACAUAAUAAUCGGGGUGCUAUUAUAUAAAAUAAGUGGGGUGGAAUUAUCAUCACCCUUUUAUUAGUUUCAAACCUCUUUUAAAUUUUUUUAAAAUUAUAUUUGAUUUUCAGAUAUUUACAUAUGAAUACAAAAAGUAAAUUUUUGUGAUUUUUAUUUGAAUAGAAAAAGGUAUGAAUGAGAAAUCAAUAUUAUAUUUAAAAAUAUUUAUAUAGAAUAUAGAUAUUUCUUAAACUAUAAAAUAUAAUCCCUUUUUUUGUUUUGAUUUGAAAGGACAUAAAUGUCAAAUAAUCAUAUUUAAGAUAUUUUUUAUUUAUAAAAAUAAACAAGAUAACAUUUGUAUUAGAUAUUAAAAAAAAAAGUAAACAUGUCAUUCAAAUAGUCGUAUUCAGAUUCAUUCAGACUAAAGAAAAAAUUAUACUAAUUCAGAUUUUAGGCAAAAAAAAAAAAAAAACACUACCUAAAUUGUUUUAAGCACCGACAGAACCUGAAGCACUCACUGUUUUAAAGAGAGGAGAACGGGGUAUUCACAGUUGAUUAAUGAUUAGAUGUGAAUUAAAAGUUAAGUACUGGUAACAGUAAUUCGAUAGAUUUUAUGAGGAGAAAUAGAGAUAUCUCUCCCAUAAUAUGUGAAAGCAUCGACGUAAUUUCAUAGUUAUUUCGGUUGGGAUGCAUCCUGAAAAAUAUAAACCGGAUGACAGAAUAAGAAGAUCUAAGAUGUAGAAGAUGAUUUCAUGAGUGAUUCGGUUGAAAGGGAAAAUUGUGAAUUUGAUCUAGACAAUGCUGAGAAUACAGCAGCAAGGACAUUUAUAGUUUGAACUGAAAUAUCAGCACCUUAGUAACGAAUUGAGCACUACAAUUACAACAGCCUUUGCCAGCUCAGCAUGCCACAUGAUCAAUACUUAAAACUAACUUAAAACUGCGACUAGCUAGAAGCCCGAUAGUGGGACGCCUAAUCUAUGAAGCUUGAAACCACGUCCUCCAGCAGUUCGAGCAAUUGACUAGUUAACAUAAUUAACCUAGACCUUUGCAGGAGGAGGAAGAAUCCAUUGAUUCCCCUGAACGUAGUCAAGCACCAGGAAGGGUCUGGCCUCGGCAUCACUUAGCUGCUUGGUGUAUUCAACCCUCUCAGCUGGACUGGCCCCUGGUCCUGAGCACUUAUAUUCUCCAUAGAACACAGUUCUGCAUACAAUUCAUAGACUUUUUUCAUUUAGUUACCAAGAAUCAAUUAAAAAAACAAUAAUGUUAGUCCCAACUGAUGUGGCAGCUACAUGUUAAAUAUUAAUAACUAAUUUGAUAUGGUAUUGUCGCAUAAGUUGACACUCAGUUUGGGGGCUCAAGCUGGGACUUUGAUGCUAAAAUCUCUAGUAUUCUCGCUUAUAUAAAAUUAGAAUGGCAGAGGAAGGCUUACUGGCGGCGCUCUGGACGAAAAUUAUCUGACCAUCCAGCGCGGUUGACGACAUUGCCCAUGGUGGUAUAAGCGUACACCACUCUAGGACUAUUCUUCCAUGCUCUGCCCAAGUAUGUCCCAUUCCCGGAUCCUUCUAUCGUGCAAUGCACAAAUGCGAAUCCAUUAUCCUCUGAUUCACUUUCCCUCGCAUGUGCGGUUAUCACUGUAAGCCCCGUAUCCCCCAUUGCACGCAACUCCGUGCUCUGCAAUAACAUUCGGCAAGGUUUUCGUGAAUUAGGAUCUUCUCAUAAUCUGAACCUAUCUGCUGAAUUUCUAAAAUCUCGUGUCUCUUGUAUUUUUAAUUAGCUAAGUAAGAUAGGAGUUUUGAUUAAUGAUUACCAAAUACAACGACUUUCCACUUCCGAAAAUGAAAUCAACAGUGCCUUGAAUGUGACAAUCCUUAAAGAAAUGGUUGCCCCUGUCAUCACACAAGGUGUCCUGGAACCCGAUGAUUUUGCAGUUAUAAAAGGCCGCUUUGGUGCCGGAGAUCCUCAAAGCCACCGCCUGAGCUCCCUCCCUUUUGCCGUCCGGCCUUGGCGAAGAAUUCUUAACAAACAAUAACAAAAACAUUUUAUAAUCCAUACAAAACAAUUUGUCACAAAACGUCCACUUAUUCAAGAAAUUAAUAAAUAAACCAGCAUAUACACAUACCGCUAUAAUAAUAUUUACAGCCAUGAAGUAAUCAGACUCCACAAUAAGAGUUGCACUAUCAACUGUUCCAUACUCCUUGGCGGUGCCCCCAAAUGUCACAUUCGGCAUAGCAUCAGGCGAUCCGUAAAAAGUAAUAAAGGGUUUAGAUCGAUCAAUCUUAAUCUUCUCAACAUAUUCCCCGGCACCAAUUGAUAAAAUGACACGCUUGGUGUUCCCUUGAGGUAUGCUAUUAAUGGCAUCAUUUAUGGUCUUGAAUUCGCCGCUUCCAUCUUGAUUCACCUUGAUCACACGCUGGCCAGCCUGAGCCGUAGAGAGUGCAGGAUCCAGAGUUGUUUUUCUCUCAGUGUAAGGCUUAACGUUGGCAGUAAACCAGCUCUCUAUUUGUGACUUCUCCGGUGGAAUCACAGCCCCAUCGCCGCCGCCGCCGCCAUUGGCAGAGUUUGCAAGGUGGUUGAUGAUGAAGAUUAUGAUUGUGAAAACAGCUGCCACAUGAUGAGUCAUGUUUAUUUGUUUUGUCUUAAUUUGUUAGAAUUGUUUGAUCAAUGAAAGAGUGUUCUGGUGUGCAAUUUAUAAGAAUUUGUCUUGUUGUCUAUUUAUGAGGUUUCUAUUAACAAAAGAGAAACUCUUUGGUGUUACAUGAAUACCGGAAAUUAAUUGAAUGCUAUACGUUAUGUGAAUCAAAGGCUUAUUUUGAACACUACUCGAUGUACGUACGAGUGUUCGGACAGCGCCCACGUUCUAAUAUAUUGACUUGUAACGAAAAAACUGAAGUUUUCGGACAAGGCAUAUCACAAAUUAUUAAUUAAUAAUACCAAACGAUCAUUUUCCUGAGGCUAAGGCUGAGGUUAUAGCGUCCAAAUUAAGAUUUAAAAGUAAAUUUUGGCGGCGCAUAAUGGACACAAUGAAGGACCCUAUGGAAAAGGACUGAAAAUAGAAAGCUAGCUGCCAAAUUCAAAUCAAUAAUCUCUGCUGAAAGAUUGGAAAUUUAUCAAUCCUCCAUUUAUAUACGUGUAUAAUGGAAUUGCUCUAAAGGGAAUUACACUAAAUAAAGCGUACACUAGAAAGCUUUUCGUUAUAAUGAAAGCUUGUAGAAAGCAAAACUUAUCAUCAAACUAUAUAUGAAGCAAAAUAUUAGAAAUGUUAAUUCAUUUCUUUCUGAAAUGUUUAUACAAACCAAUAAAAUAAAAAAAAAUAAAAAGGAUGAUCAUUUCCCAUCAAACUCAUUUGCACCGAAAAAAUGCAUGCAUGAAUGGUUCAUGAUGUACCCAUAAUCCCCAUCCAAUAGAUCAUCGUGAAAAAAUUUUUCUUUAAAAAAAAAAACACUUGUCAAUUGUUGGUUCCAAUUAUGCAUGCUGAGAAAUUUGAUCUCGAACUGAAAGCUUUUAGAAAGCAAAACCAAUUAAACUGUGUAGGAAGCAAAAUAUUAGAAAAAUCUAAAUACUUAGUAUACAUUCGAAUAAUUUUUUUUAUCAAUUAUUUAUAAUUUUUUUUAAAUCAAUAGUUCUUUAUUAGUUAAUUUCAUUCUUUUUAUUAGUGAGAUUAACAUGUAAUGUUGCAACUUGCAAGCUUUCCAAAUACUUGAAAACAAAAAUAAAAAUAAAAAUUAACGCUUCAACCGCUUUAAUCUAGUAUAAGAUCCAUGAUGUGAUGGCAAGUUGUUCAAGAAAUGUAUUUUAAUUAAUCGUUUUUUUUUCCAAUUAACUUCGAGCCAUCAGCAUUAGUCUUCAAGGUAAAUAGAUACAUGAGGCACAGUGUUUGUAUAAAAUCUACUAUAGCUAACAUAACUGGAACUGAUGAUCAAUGAUAGUAUUCUUCUCUGACUGUGAUUGAAUGGAUUGCCGAAUUCAAUUUUACUUAUAAAUCAAACAUUUGAAUAUAGUUACUAAAGCGUACACUAUAAUUCUCUUCGUUAUAAUAAAAGCUUGUAGCAAACUAGUCAAACUAUACAUGAAGGAAAAUAAAAGAAAUGCUAAUUCAUUUAUUUUCUCAAUUGUUUAAACAAACCAAUACAACAGAUAAGAAUGAUCAUUGCCCAUCAAAUUAAUUUACACCAUGAAUGGUUCAUGAUGAACCCAAAACCCCCAUCAAUCAAUGGAUCGUCGUGAAAAAGCACAAAGCCUUAAUAAAAAAAGGGACACUUAUAAAAUGUUGUUCCCAAUUCGCAUGGAUGCCUUGAAAUUUGAUCUCGAAUUGAAAGCUUUUAGAAAGCAAAACUAAUCAAACUAUAUAGGAAGCAAAUUUUAUCUAAGUACUUAUUUUCAUUUGAUAUCAUUUCUACAUCAAUUCUUUAUAAAUUAUACAAAGGAAUGAAACAAUUCCACCAAAUUUACACAAAAAAUAAAAAAUAAAAACUGCAUGGAUUGUAUGAACCCAAAAUUAACCCGUAUCAAUUACGGAGCAUUUUAGCAAACCUAUACAUUAUUAAUCCAAAUAGAAAAAAAUUAAAUCAUCAUCUUUGCCACGCCAUUUUGUAGCCAUGUGGUGUUUGCUCACCAAACCAUCUUUGAGUCAACAACUUCAAUCGAUCAUCUCUGUGGUCACAAAACUUGUGCUCCCACCCUUCAGGCUCAAUCGGCUGAAACCCUAAUCCCGGAGUCCUGUCCUUUGAAUUUGGGUUCGUUUUUUCUUUCCAGUCAGCAACAUAGGCCGAAACCCGUCUCCGGAACUUAACCUUAAACUCGGACCAUGCUUGGUACUUGUAGUGAUUCACCACACCAUCAUGGACGCUCAUGUGUUUCCACUUAAACGUCUUCUUCAACCCAAAAUGGUGCACCACAUUCCCCAACGAAUCAUCAAUGGCUUCUAACAAUACAAUAGACUUGUGCCGCGGUUCUUUAACCCGCCUUUGACAAUUAUACCCUUGCGUCACUCCUCUUACUGGAUGUGAUUUUUGGCCCGACGGUCCAAAAUCAUUGCACCUAAACGAAACUUGACCGAUUGAUGAAGGUUGCUGUGGUAACAAAGAUUUUAACAUAUGCUUCGAUGGCUGUGAAGCUUUCUCCCAUGAUGGUGAGUAGACAAAUUCGUCAACGUCAACGUACAACAUCCAUUUGCAUGAAUCCUUUGCAUGUAUUGCACUGUGUGAGAAGCCAGCUUCUUGAGUCUUGGGCCAAAGCCAAAGCAGCGUGGUAACGUCGUAACCAUCUAGGUUAAGCUCAUUAACGACCGUUUGAAGACCGUCGUCGCUGCCGUUGUCGUAUAAAAUGAAUUUAUCGACGCCGAUUUUGGAAUGAUAAAUCACCCAUUCUUUCAAAAACUUGCCCACAUUGUAGACCAUUGUACAUGCACAAAUUUCUGACUUCUUUGGCUCUUGAGUUAAUGCUAUCUCGUGCCGUGGUGAGUAGUAUGCCACGGAAGGGACGGUCCGGUUUUCUUUUGUUAUUUGUAGACUGAUUUUGAUCGGCCUGCCCUGGUCCGCGCCACAAGAAGAAAGGGCCGUUAAGUCAGGGUGAGAACACCUGAAGACCUCUUGCAUGGAGCUCGUAACAUGAGUUUUAACGGUACCGUGAACCACGUCAUCACCGAAUAUGCACAUGAAGUCUUGAGGAGGGCUGUUGAUUCCAGAGCGGCUGUUGACUCCUUUAACGAACAAAACGACAUCGCUUUCAGUAGAAAUCGAUUCGUAGGCCAGAUUUUUCAUGUUCAUAAGCUCACGUUGUUCUUCUUUUGGUAGAGUUUCCUUCUCCGGAUGCUUGGUCAAAAUGGGUUGCCAAAACGGCAUUUGACGGCGAACACCGUUCGGCAUAAUACAUUUGAACGCCGUCCGCUCAGUAAACGGCAACGCUCCCGAGAAUCUUGCUGGAGAAGUCUGAUUGUUCGAAAAGAGACAGUGAAAACCUUCGAGAGGAUCUGACGGCAUUAACGGAUUCUCGGGCGAGAGAAUCACUAGAACCUCCCAGUCCGGCAAGAGAACGGAGACGGAAUCGUAUUUAUGAACGGAAUCUUCUUCAACGGAGGACACGUGACGGCUCAGGCUAGUGACAUUAUACAGCUCCUCGAAUCCUUGGUUGGUCACGUGAUUUGAUUGGACGGUGAGGUUCACCUGAAAGAAGUAGAAACUAGAGCCGGAGAUGGCACUGGAAACGUAAAAAGAAAAGGCGGCUAAGAGAAGAAGAGAGAAAAAGAGCCGGGAGAAGCGAGUCCUUGUACGACGCGACGUCGUAUGAUAUUCAUCAUCACGUAAUGAGAAAGAAACAGAGAGAGCUCUUUGAUAGCCCAUUGUUUCUGGUUCAGUCUUGGUGUGUGUGUGUGUGUGUGUGUGAGUGUUUAUUUUCUAAUAUAUAUAUGUGUUGAAGGUUUAUCUGAAGGGUUUAGGAGAGCGUUAAUUAGCGAAUCCAGAUAGAAAAGGGACAAAUGUUUUUGUGAGGUAACUUCGCUUACAAGCAACUUGAGUUUCCUAAAUGGGGUUUAAGAUUAGAUAUAAGGUUAGAAUUAAAUUUCCUUCGUAAAUCAUGUUAUUAGGGCAUGCAUAUCCAAGAAACUUGUAACUGAUUAAGCGAAUAGGAGACGCACAUGUCUUGGAUUUCCUUGCAUGUCAAGGAAAUUUAAUUCUACUAGAUAUCUAAUCUUACGAUGUGUCGGCAUCUGAUUAGUAACUUAAUUGUUAUGUUUAUUAGAUUUUCCAUAGGAAACGUAUUGCAUUUGACAGGCGAUGUUUGGGUCUAAUUAUUAUUUUACAUAUAUUUUCUGCAAUGUGAUUUAUAAAAUUUCAAUUUGUAUUGCUUUGGAUAAAAUGAAGGAGUGUUUUAUCGGCAGUUGUUUUGUUGUUUGAAGGCUUUCACUUUUCGAAGUGGAGCACAAGUUAAUUUUCAAGUUUGUGCACGGAAGAAAUCCACCUUUGAUUUAGGGUGCGUUUGGGAUUGAGGUUGGGCAGCUGUAGCUUAAAAGUUACAGCACUAAAGUGUUUGGUAAACACUAGCUGCGGUAGCUUUUAAGCUAUGUUGAUACGAUUUUUCACUUGUAUAAUAUAAAAUUUAUUAUAUCUUUAAUAAUUUUAUCAAAAUUAUUAUUUAAAAUUUAUAUUUACUAUAUAUUAUUAACUUUUGUUUCAUAAUUACAGUUUUUUUUUCACAGCAGUUGUAGCUUAAAAGCUACAGCACCUCAAUCCCAAACACACUCUUAGUGGUGGGCGGUGGUAAAGUUCCCGCAUGUGCUUGAUUAAUUAAUUUCAUUGUAGUAGGGUUUGAUGAAAUAUAUGAGUAUGUAGUAUAUAUGCUUAAUUAAUGUUAGCAAUUUACAAAUGACGAUGAUAUCAGGAAUUAAUUUUGGGUUAACUAAAUCACAAAUAAUGUAAUUUAACAGGAGUACAUUGUUUUAGGAUCUUGCAAUACCGAACAAGAUGACAUAGUAUCUAUUUCUUUUUCUUUUUUCUUUUUAUAUAGUACUGAUAUCAAAUUGAUAAUAGCAAUUGGGUUAUUGCUUAAACUAGAUUUUAUUUCAUUUUUUCAGGGUGUUAUUGAUAAAAUUCACAUAUUAAUAAAGUGUGUUAAUUCAUGUAUAUUUAGGACAAUCAAGAUGUCAAUAGAGUAUUGAUAAUUUUAUCAAUACAAGAGUGUUCAACAAUUUGGACAUAAUUUAAUCCAUAAGUUUCUCGAUUGAAUUAUGGAAAUAGGAUCGGGAUUAAUUAAUUAAUUAAUAUAUACUUGUUGUUUCUCUCUCAAAACAAGAAAUAAAAAUAAAAAUAGGAAGGAAAAUUUCUUUUUGACAUUUUUUCAGUUUUGUUGACAUUUUUAAAUGUGACUAGUAAUUGAAAUCUUGAACUCGUGAUACUUAUGGUUACACGCAAAUUUCAUUCCUUUUGAAAUUAUUCGAACUCAUUAUCAUGAGUUCCAAUUUCUACCAUGCAUUAUGUCAAAAUCUCUGUAGCAGCUAGCAGGUUCUGGCAGAUUCGUCAUGUUCAUACUUACCAAUAGAUUUGUUAAUAUAAUAUUUAAAAAAGAAAAAAGAGAAAAAGAAACAAUGAUAUGAAUGAAUAACAAAACAAUGUUUUCGAUUGGAAGAAUUUUACAAAAUAUUUUUUGUCAUUUCGAACCUUACUGUACUGAUAUAUUCUGAUAUGAUAAGCAAGAAAUUAAGCAUACUAAAGCAUACAUUAAACAAUACAGGUUACAUGAUUUGUCAACAUUAAUUGGAUUAAUUACAUUUUGCGUCUAUAAAGUUAACAUUCCAUAUAGAAACUGUCAAAUAUUCUCUGUUCAAUAAUUGAAUGCAUGUGUUAGAAACUUCGAUGCAAUUAACAAAUACAAAUAUUCCACAUGACCCGCAGACACACGUGGCUUGCAUGCAGAUAGAAGUUACUGAAUCAUUCAAGAAAUGACCAUACAGAGACACUAUGCAUGGAAUCGUAAUCUAAGAGUAGAUUAAAACGCUUUCAAAAUCAAAUAAUCAAGGAUUUAUUUACUUUAUUUUGCAAGCAUUUCUCUAACUUGCAAUGUAUAUCAUUAACCCCUUCUAUGCUAAACUUCAACAAAUGCUCGUAUAUUAUUAUUAUGAUUAUGUGGAAUUUUGCCUUCACUCUAAAAAGGGACGUGAGCGAAACUUUGGUACUUUUAUUUUUUAAAAGUUCAUUUCAAAGUUUUGAUUACGAUAAAUACUUUUAAUAUGCUGUAUAAGAUAAUAACAUUUUUUUUAGAGAGUACAAUAUGAAUAAGAAUAAAUACAAUCCAAUAAUCUUGUCAAGAUUAAAUAUCCAAUCCAAAAUCUAUUAAGACUUACCUCAUACAUUAAAGUUGAAGUUAAGACGAAACAUAUAAAAUAAAAUAAUAAUAAAUAAACAAACUCUCACAUUUUGGAGAUUUCAAUUAGGGGUGGUAAAAAUAUGCGCCCGGUCCGAACGCAGACUGCACCCAGACGUUGUGGCCUAGGUAUUACUAGGCCCGGAUAUGAAGUCAGGUCGGUCUUGGACAUCACUUAAUAAACCUGGAGCCCGGCCUGGAACCCAAAUUUUAUUAAAAAAAUUAAAAAAUAUAUAUUAUUUUAAAUAUUUAUAUUUAUUUGACUCAUUAUUACACAUUUAAAACUUAUUUUCAUGUCAAUUUUUAUUGAAAUAUAUUUAAAACUUAUAAAUUACUAAAAAAUAAAAAAAUAUACACAUAUAAUAUUAAAAAUAUAUAAAAUCCAAAUAUCCCGAUAAAAAUCCGGCCCGAGCAUCUAAAAAUUAUAUUUGAACCGAGUCCAAACAUUGCAAUAGCCGAACCCAAACCCGAAUUUUACCAAUACUCGAACUUAGAGCCGCGUUUUACCAACCCUAAUUUCAACCGUCUACUUAAAAAUGAAAGACUCAAGCCAUUCCGUUGACGUGAGGAAGUGCCUAAACAACUUCCUUAAAACACUCUGAAAAUAACAUUAAAGUAUAGUUAGUUGGUAAUAUUUUUAUUUUUAUUUUUAUUUAAAAAAGGGUAGAGAGAAUCAAUUUUAUUAAAUUAAUUUUUUUUUUAAUUUGGUUACCUUCCAGAUAAUAAAGGAAAAAAAAAAUGAAAAGGAAAAAAAGAUACGCGUAAUAAAUCUCUACCGUAUUUUUCAUUGGAAAGACGAUCGAUGCAAGCAAGCAUUGUACAUCAAAGUCAAAAAGCACCUCUCUCUCAAAAAUCGGCAUUUUCCUUUUCUUUUUAAUAUCAUCGUCAUCCAUCACAUCAAUUUCCCAAUCACCUUCCUCCAGAUCCUGUAAAACCACCUAAUCAAAUACUACCCAAUAACGUUGACGCCCAUUAACGCAAAGCACUGGUUGAUAGAUAUUUACAUAAAUCUCAAUUUAAGUAUUUAAUAGGCAAAACCAUAAGCUCCGUUUAUUAAUUACUUUUCUCCGUCUUAAAAGACGAAGACCAACAACGCCACAAUGUUAAUGCUCGUGGACUGUUCCAAAUGCCGCACGACGUUACAGCUCCCGCCUGGGGCCCAGUCAAUCCGCUGCGCCAUCUGCCAAGCCAUCACCCACAUCGCCGACCCUCGAUCCGGCCCUCCUCCUCCCUCCUCCUCCCCCUCCUCCUCUUAUCAGCCCGGUCAGGUGCCUCCUUCCGCUGUCGCUCCCUCGCCUUACAACCACGCGCCCCCCGGCCAACCUCCCCACGCGCAGGGCCGCAAGAGAGCCUUGAUCGUCGGCGUUUCCUAUAGGCACACCAAUCAUGAGCUCAAGGGUUGCCGCCUUGGCCGUACAGCAGUGUCGCUCCCUCGCCUUACAACCACGCGCCCCCCGGCCAACCUCCCCACGCGCAGGGCCGCAAGAGAGCCUUGAUCGUCGGCGUUUCCUAUAGGCACACCAAUCAUGAGCUCAAGGGUUGUAUCAACGACGCCAGGUGCAUGAAGUACAUGCUCACCAACCGCUUUAAGUUCCCUGAAUCCUCCAUCGUCAUGCUCACCGGUAAUAUAUCAUUUUCUUUCUCUAUUUAUUUAUUUAUUUGCUGAUUAACUGUGAUUAGUAAUUUUGAUUUUGUUUAUUAAUUGUUAUGUGGCGAAUUAGCGAUAAUAGUUUAUCAUUAUGGUAUGGUGUAUUUAAUGAUUUGAAAGUAAGAGGGCUGUUUGGUGGCACAAAUGAAUCAGAUUCUCUUUUAAAAUGACUGGUGUUUGAGGCAUUGUUUAAAUUAAUAACGCAGUCUGAAAAUGGGAAUAGCAAAAGGUGAGCAAAAAGAGUGGUAUGGGAGUAAUUAAGAAAGAUGCUGAUUGACAAAAACGAACACCAAUAAUGCGCGCUGCUGAUUAAAGACGGAAAUAUGAACAUCUUUAUUGUUUUUCGGCCUAUGCUUGAAUCUAUCUCAUGUCACGUGUGGAGUUCAUUAACACAAACUUUUCUUUUAGUGGUCAAUAACAGGAAUUAUUAGUAAUAUUUCGUUUGAUUAGCUGUUUUACUGUGGAUACCGCAGAGUGCAAUUCAUUGUUCAAUGCUAAAUUUUAGGGCCUGAAACUUUGCCGUCUCACCUUGCCUUGAGGAAUCUUCCUAAUGCCACUCAAUUAUUUACGAUGUAAUGCUGGAAUGAUUGUAUCUAUCUGUUUUUUUGUUAGUAACAGCAGGUUUUAAUUGAGUUUUCAUAUGCAUCUGCUAUGAUGAUUCUGGCAAUUACAAAAAAUAAAAGAUUAGUUGUAAUAUCAGGUUUGUUUAUGAAGAUGACCUCAUCUGAGCUCAAUUUCUUUCUGAAAACCAAUUUGCAGAAGAAGAUCCCGAUCCCUUAAAGCGGCCUACCAAAUAUAACAUGAGAAUGGCGUUGUAUUGGCUUAUUCAAGGUUGUCAACCUGGAGACUCACUGCUUUUCCAUUUUUCUGGUCACGGUUCACAACAGAGGAAUUACAAUGGUGAGGAGGUUGAUGGAUAUGAUGAAACUCUUUGUCCAGUGGAUUUCGAAACCCAAGGAAUGAUUGUCGAUGAUGAGAUCAACGCAACUCUAGUCCGGCCUCUUCCUCGUGGGGCCAGGCUUCAUGCAAUUAUAGAUGCUUGUCAUAGUGGAACCGUGUUAGACUUACCAUUUCUCUGUAGGAUGGACAGGUUAGUCCCUUUUUGUUACUUUAGAUUGAUACGAGUUUAGAAAGACCUGAUAAAUGAACGAAGCACGAACAAAUUAAAAGUAGAGAAUAGAAAAACCUAUGACUAAAAAUCUUUCUACAUUGUGAGCUUUUGUGGAUUUUAGCUGCAUUUUAUUCUAUCUCUUCAUGCAUUUCCCUUGGCUUAGACAUGUUUUCUUUGAGGAUGCAGGCAGGGGAAAUAUAUAUGGGAGGAUCACCGCCCUCGAUCAGGAAUGUGGAAAGGGACAAGUGGUGGGGAGGCUAUUUCAUUUAGCGGCUGUGAUGAUAAUCAAACAUCUGCUGACACUUCGGUAAUGUUUUAGUGAUUCAUAGCAACCUUUCAUUCAACUGGAAUAUAAAAAGUACAUAUUUCAGUUGGGAACUGAUGUUUAAUUAUUCAACCUGAUGCUUUAUGAACAGGCUCUGUCAAAGAUCACAUCAACCGGUGCGAUGACUUAUUCUUUCAUCCAAGCUAUUGAGCGUGGACAUGGAGCUACAUAUGGGAGCAUGCUGAACUCAAUGAGAUCUACCAUCCGUAACACAGACAGUGGUAGUGAGCUUUCAGGUGCCGGUGGUCUUGUAACAUCUCUGGUCACCAUGCUUUUGACAGGAGGGAGUCUUAGUGGCGGGUUCAGACAGGUAUUUAUGUUCGUCAUGUUUGCCAACUGUUAUGGAUAUGGCUUGUCUUCUAGUUUGUUUGACAGAUUUGUCUCCCGUCUAUUACUUGGUUUCUUAAUUGAUGGUCUGGCACAUACAUGUCUUUAGUAGGUGGCUUCCAUUCCCCUUGCACUCUUCUCUUUUCCUUUUGAACCUGUUAGUGGGUGCCAUCUCCAUAGAUGCUGGAUGACUUUUACAGGAGCUUAGCAGAAUCAAAGAAGUAAUAAUGAACAGAGUAAUGGAUAGGAGCCAUAUUGCACCACAAGCAUACUAUUAGAUGCCACAUUGACAGAAUGAUGCCAUGAGGAAAAUUAAAGAAGUGCGGGAUAAGAUCCUAUUUUACUUUUGAUCAAUAAGCCCUCUCCCAAGUUUAGAACACCCAAAAUUCACUUUUGGAGUUAAUAUAAAUGUGAUAAUCAUAAAACUAUCAAGCUGGUGCUACUCUUUCUGCAGCUAGGUUCUAGGUAUACAAGGGCGCUGAAGGUAUUUAUUAUCUGUUUGCUGCUAAAAAUGAAAACCCUGAAUGAGCUUCGUGGUUACAAUUUUUGUACAUCCACAUCUACUGCUGUUCAUGUCUAUGUGGACACGUUCUGUUGCUGGAUCUAUCAUGUUGCGUCAUUCUAUUCCAAGAUUACUCUGAGAAUUUUGGCUUAGUUGUCAUAAAAAAUAAGACUAGACAUAUCCUUGUUAUUUCUUGUUUGUAUGCUUGAUGCUAUAAUCUCUGAACUUGUUCAUCCUCCUGUUUGAUGCAGGAACCUCAGUUGACUGCCAAUGAACCGUUCGAUGUCUAUACAAAGCCUUUCUCCCUAUAACUACUAGUAAAAGCAAUAUUCUUAUCCAGGAGCUCGUAAUUUGUUUGAAGUAUGUUCUGUCAAUGUGUACAGUUAUUGUGAAAACUUUGAUUCAAUCAUAUAUUUGUCCAAUAUUUGUACUUUUGGUUCUCUUUUCUCCCUUCCUCUGUUUUCAGAAUAAGAGAUGCUGAUUAAAUUAUAUAUAUCUCCAUUAUUGGACUGAUCUGCGGAACAGAUGUUUCAGAUUUAGAUUUGCUUAUCUUAUAAUUUCCCUCGCUAACAAGUUUGAGAAUUGAAAGAAUUACGAACUAAAGUAGAUUUAUUUUAUCACGGUGAUGAUAGUAUGGUAAAAAACUUCCACCUUGUUCUCAUCUCUGCUCCCGCACAACACCACCUCUGAGCUUUCUUUUCAACGACCACCGCUACCGCGACUCAGCUCACCUUCUCUCCACUCCACGUUACCACCAGUCCUGCAAGUUGCCCUCCGUUCCAACUCAGGGCGCCCACAAGCCCAACUCCACUUGGAAGCCCAUCCCACUAAUAUCCAUACAUGAUACAUCCAACUUAAAUUCUCAAGCCCAAAACCAAUCUCAAUCCAUUAAACGACAGAAGGUCCAAUCAUCCAAUAUAAGUCCACAAGUCCAAAAUCAAGCCCAAAUCAAUAAUCCCUCUAAUCCACUCGCCAACAACCAACCUCAAAAUCAGCCCACUUCCGUCCCCACACACGCAUAGUUUUGACUUCCACUCCCAAUCGAAAUUUAAAUAGGCCGAAAAAAAAAUUCUUUGCUGAAAUUAUGAACGGGCCCACACCUCCAACGAUCCCCAUCAAGACAAUCUCUUCUUACGAGGGUGAGCUGAAUGUGCAGUUUUCUGUAGAGGAAGUCAAACCGAUGGCUAUUCCAUUCAUUGGUCGAUAAAUUUUCUUACAAUUGCCCUCAUAUGGAAUUAAUUAGAAUUUUUUUUAGCUCGUGGGGAUUAAAAGGAAAUUUUAGAUUUUGCUAUUGGAUAAUCGUCAUAUUUUAAUUAAAUUAAAUGUCGAAUAAGACUACGCUCGCCUGUGGAUUAAGCAGACUUAGUAUGUUAAUGGAAGUGCCAUGAAAAUUUUUAAAUGUACCACAUAUUUUCAGAAGCUAGAUGUUGGGCGUGCUCAAUCUGAAAAAAACUGUUCCAAUCAUGAAAAACAUUGAUGCAUAAAUAUUAGCAUUUUCAAACCAAAAAAAAAAAAAAGUCAAACAAGUUUAUUUUGCGAGCAUGAGUCAAAAUAUCUUAUUUCCAUAUACAAUUUGUUGGACCAAUGGGCAAAAGCUGUAUCCUGACGUUAUCCCAAAUUCUUAUAAACUUCAAGUAACCCUUAAUUGUUAUUCAAAAAAGAAAAAUUGAUGAAACUUAUUUUAUCUUUUUUAUGAUAAUUAAAAAUAAGUUGAGGUUUAAAAUUGAAAAACUCUAAAACCUUAUUUGAAUCCAGACUAAAUUACUAACCAAUAUAAUUUCGGAAGCGUACCUGAAUCUAUUGUUGUUGUAUAUGAAUUUUUUAUUUUUAGUGAUGGACUUCCAAACUAAUCUCUAUCAUUUUUAAAGAAUUCUCAUUGAGAGAAUUUUGAAAAUGAAAGGAGAUUGAUAUAGAAUGGAGACCAUAACUUCUGUAUAUAAGAAAACUAACUAGGAGUUUUAAUUAAAAUCGUCUAGCAGUUAUUUUGUAUUAAUUAUUACUUCUAGAGUUUUAAUGGUAUAAUUGUUGUGGGAUAAAUACAUAGAUACUAGAGUUUUAAUUAUCACUUCUACCCUCAUAGAAGUAAUAAUUAAAACUCUAAUAUCUAUGUAUUUAUCCCACAACAAUUAUACCAUUAGCCGUUUAAUUAACAUUAAAUAGAUCACUUAAUUGUUGGCGGCCAAUUAAAUAAUACCACACACAUUUGAUUUGUUUCAUGUGUGGCCCCAAAUAUUAGACUAAUUAAAGAAUUAAUCUAACAUAAAAUAGUUUAAGCAUAUUUUGAAAAUUAUCAUUUAACGAAGAAAUAAUCUAAAAUUAAUCCAAAAUAAUUUUGAUUCGAUUUAGAAGCUCUCAAUUAAAAAUGCUUGAUUUUUUUGUGUUGAAAGGAAAAAUAUCAAUGUAUGAAAUUAAGAAAAAAAAAUGUAUUAAAAUAUUAAAUGCGCUGAAAUUAAAAUAAAAUUUGACUGGGUGGGGACGGACAACUGGACCGCAUCCAUUGACGAAGAAAAAAAAAUAAACAAAUUAAUUAAAAAAAAAAAAAGACUUUGCUUUAUGAGUCAACUGACCAAAAACUUCAUCGACUUCUAUUAUAAGCUGCCAUGUUUCUGAGUUUUUCUCUGGAGAAACUUUCUCAUAUUGGUUAAAAACUCUGGAAAUCAUAAAUUGUAAAUAAUUUCUGUUGUAAGAAAUUAUGGACAAGAACAAGCGAGAGAAGAAGAAGAAGAAGAAGUUGGAAGAUCCUACAUUUUCUUCUACUAAACAGGUUUGCCAUCUCUAUUAAUUAUUUAAUUUUGCAUGGCCUGUGUGAGUGUUUUUGUGAAAGUAAAAUUGCUUCUUAUUUGAAGAUUCAAAUUAAUCAAUGUUAUUGCUAUCGUAUUAAAUUGUUUUUAUUUUCAUCUUUGUUCCUUUUGUAGCAUUUUAGUAUGCAUAUCGUGGUGGAUCAGAUCACCUUUGAAGAAUUUUUUUUUCCCCAUUCUCUAAGACAAAACGUAUUUUAAAGAAAAAAAAAGUCUGAUAAUUAAAUUAUUUUUACAAAAUUCUUUGGAAACAAUGAUUUUGUUUUCCUCUUGAAGUCAACAACAACAGUUGAUGUUUGGGGACGUUUUAUUGGACACGAAUGCUAAUAGUAAACCAUAAAAUAUUUUUUCCUCGAUACAAAGGACUUGGGAACCUUUUUUUCUCUUUCCUUGUUCUUUUAGUUGACGUUAUUGAACUCAGAUUCAGAUUUAAACCAGAUUUUUGAAAUGUUUUUAAUUUGAUAGCAAAAAAGUAUUUUUAAAACUUUUUUAAUGAAGGUAAAAUAUCUAGGCUGUUUGAAAUAUUUAAAAAUGAUUUGUGAAGUUAUAAUCUAAGGGUUAUUAUUAUUUCACUGCUUCAAAAAUUGUCAAAUAUCAAAUGACUACAAUAAGUAAUGUAUUCUAUCAUUUUCCUAUUAUAUCUUUAUAAAAAUAUCAUUUUAUUACUUUUAUGUUAUAAUCAUUAGUUGAUCAGUUAAUUGACUAACAAAAUACCAAUUUCACCCUUUAUGAUUAAAAUUUUUUUUGAAACUUAUUUACAAAAUGAAUUUAUAAUAUAUUUAUUAAAAUGGAUAUAUAAUACCAACAAAUUCUUUUUGCUAGAAUUAUGAUAUAUGAGUUACAAAUUUGUCUUAUUAUUAUUUUUAAUCAUAAAGGGUAAAAUUGAUAUUUUGUUAGCCAACUAACGGGUCAACUAACGAUUGUAACGAAAAAAUGAUAAAAUAAUAUUUGUUGUAACGGAAAAGUAGUAAAAUGAUAUUUCUAUAAAGAUAUAGUAGAAAAAUGAUAGAAGGCAAUACUUGUUGUAGUCAUUUGAUAUUUGACAAUUUUUGAAGUAGUAAAAUGAUAAUAACCCUAUAAUCAAAUUAUCAUAUAUGCGUGGCAAAUUAUUAUUAUUUUUUAUAUGAAAUCACCACCUCCUAUAAUAAAUUCUGAAAAUGUGUAGCUUCUUAAACUUUGUUUGAAAAAUUUAGUUUAUCCAUAUACAGCUCCACACGCAAAAUUAUCAUUAUUUAAUUUGAAAAUAAAAUCAGUAAAUUUAAGCAGAAUUGGAUAAUUUUUUUAUUAUCAAGUUUUUGAGAUAAGAUAAAAGGAAAAAACUACCGAACACCAAGGUUUGCUUAAAUAGUAUGAACCCUACUCUGUUCAUAAAUAUUUACACAUACUGUUCUUUUGAUCAUUUACCAAAUUUUGGGAGUUUUGAUUUCUUUUUUUUAAAAUAAAAUUAUUAUUAUUAUAUAUAUAUUUUAAAAUAAAAUUAUUAUUAUUGUUAUCAUUAUUAUUAUAUAUAGAGCAAAAAUUGUUUACAUCCUCAUAGUUUGAAAAAAAUUAUUUACAUUCUCAUUGUAAUUUAACAAUAAGGUUUAUCAUAUAUAUAUAUAUAACUGCUUUUAUUUAAUACCCACAACUGCAGUUUAAAAAAAAUUAUCAAGCAAUAAACUAAUUCUCUUCACUAUUGAUUAUUUAUAUAGCACAAAACUGGCUUUAUUAAAGCAUCUAGUAUUAUCAUACUAAUAAGGUAAGUUCGUAAUAUUGUAACUUUAAUAUUUCAAAAUAAUUAAUAUUGGUUGUGUUAUUAUUAAAGUAUUUAGGACUAUCAAAUGCGCUUGCUAAUUAGGUAAGUUUGUAAUAUUGUAACUUUAAUAUUUUAAAAUAAUUAUUAUUGGUUGUGUUAUAAAGUAAUUACUUAUGAAGAGAAUUGAUUUAAUGUUUGGUAAAUUUUAUUGAAUUUUUAUUUUUUCAGUUCAACUAUUGUGUCAAGGCAAACAACUAGCUGGACAUAUUCUUAAAAAUGAAUAUUAUUUUCAGAUAUAUAUGUCUAUAUUUAUUAUAUUUCUACAUCAACAUUGUAUUUGUAAUAUUUAUGUUUUGUAUUUCAAAUAUUUGAUAAACAGAUAAAAUUAACUAAUAGUUUCAUAAAAAAGGAUCUCAUUUAGUUGAAAAUUUUACUGAUUUUCUUGUAAAAAUAUAUUUGUAAUUAAAUAAUCUGUGGCGGUUUACAUAUUAAGGGUAGUAUUGGCUUUUGACAAUAUUUACUUGGGGGCCUGAAAAAUUAUACUCUUGAUCUUUUACUGUACUAUAUUGUUAAUUAAUGUAAUUAAUCCACAGGAGGGAGUCCAAAGCAAUGAUUUUCCAGUGCCAUCUUUGAGAUUAGGAGUGAAACGGAGAAUUCUCCAGAAGCCGAUUUCGAAGGUAUGUGAUAUCUGUUAAUUGAUACGAUGCCAACUAUUUACAUUUCUUCCCCAUAAAUAUAGUGGGAUAUAAAGUAACUAAAUAUGUCAAAACCACCUAACAAGAGUGAUAGCUUUCACAAAAGUUAGUAAUUUUAAGAAUUAUCGUCAAUGUAUCUCGUAAAAAUUUCAAAAUUAAUGUUAAUUUACUUGUAUUAAUUUCUAAAGAUAUUGUUAGUGAUCGGUAACAAAACUUUAAUUGAAGUGUUUGAACUCAAUAUUAUUAGUCGGUUGUGCGGCUCACAUUGGAUAGUAAAGAGGACUUACUUAGAUUUAUAACUAAAAAUGUUCAUUCAUCUAAUAGGUUAAUCUUUUAAAUUGGAUACAUUGAUAUGUGACUCGUCUCCCAAACAAGCGAUAUUAAAACUAGAUUUUAGUAGGUAGAAUGUGGUGGUGGAACAACUUAACUAUAUCAGAUGAAACGAACUUAGAAUUGAACAAGAAUUUUGUUUUAUGGGAACCGCAAUACUUAGCUAUUGCCAAUCCCCAAGAUGCAUUAAAUUGAAUGUCCAUGCAUGAUCCACCAUCUGCACUUACUACAUUCACUCUCGGAAAUUAAAAUGGGAAAGAAUCGUAACCUCCUGUUGUUGAGGUAGUAUAGAUACCUCUACUCAAUAAACUAGUCUUUUCGACCCAGCCCCAACAAUUAUAGUGGUAUUUUAGUCAAACAAUCGGGAGACAAAUUUAAUUGUAGUGGUUUGCUCUUAAAAGUUUGAUAGUUAUGACCAUGUAGUCAGAACAAUAUGUAACGCUUUAAGCAUCCUUGGCCACGGAAUCAUUUAAUUUUAACUAUUGUAUUUAUUAUUUUAUGAAUUGUUUCUGCUUUUAGUUGUCUUUGUGGUCGCAAUUGAGGAUAUGUUUUCUUGAUCAUUUAACAUUGUAUUAGAUCGCAAGAACUAACAUUUGUCGAGAAUUAUUUUGUUGAUGCAAUAUUCUAGACGGUUGGAAGCAAAGAAUUACAAGCUGAUUUUGGUUAUCCGCCUUCAUUACAAGCUAGAGUGCAAUUUCAAAGUGGUGUUGUUGGUGAUGAUUAUCAAGAUAUUGAGAUAGAAGCAGCUGGUGGGACAGUGCCUUAUUCUCAUGAAGGUCAAGAAAUUGAUGGUUCUUUAAAACAGUCCAGUAGUACUACUACUUCAACUAAUGAAGAUGAAAGGGGAAAUGUCAGCUUAAUAUCUGAGGAGAGUGAAAUUGUACCGGAUGUGGGUUUAAUUGAUGAUCUUAAAAUUGGUCAUUUCGAGGUAAGCGUGGACACAGUUACUCCUCUCUAUAAAAAAUUUAUUGAUUUUUUUUUAUAGUGAACUGCACUGUAUGGAUGUCAUCAUAAAUUUAUUAGGCUUGAUCUAAGCACAAAUGCUGUUGUAAUUUUAAUUCAUAAGUUUUUGGGUAGUUAGUGACUUAUCUAAUAAAACUUUUUUUUUUCUUUUAGUUUUAUCUCUUUAAGUUAGAUAUUCUAAAUAAAUGUGCAAUUUUUUGUAAUAUGACCUGUCAACCGAACUGAGCACUAUACAAAGUCAGUGGGUUUUAAAUUAAUUCAAAAUGACACCAUUAUUAAUUAUAUCAAAUUUGUAUCAUCCGUUUAAUAAACCACGUAUUAAUUGUUUGAGUUUCGAAUAUUCAACAACUCAUUUAUAAUUAAUAUGAUUAUGACCUGUUCCACAUGCAUGUUCAAUAAUUAUUCUAGUGUUUGAGAUUCUUGAUUCGACUAACAACCUAUUUGAAUUCGUGCACCCAAAAGUAUUGUUCUAUCUUAAUUCGGUAUCUAUGUUGGUUUAUUUCAGCCCCAAAGUGCAAGGCAGGAUAAAAACGAGAUACAACCCCUUGCUAGAUUUCCCGGAAAUGAAAACUUCAGCUGCAUAGAUAUCGAAGAAGAUGCCAGCAAUAUUGACGUGAGGCAGAUGGAAGGAAAGGUGGUAGUAUCUCCAUCUCUUCCAUAUUAUAUUUUGAACUCAGCUACUAAUAAUAAUAAUAAAUAAAUAAAUAAAUAACCUCACUUUGCUAAUUGUUAUGGUGUUUAUUUCAGGUUGUAAGGGAAAAGCAGAUUAAUGAUGUCCGAGCUAGUCUUGGAUCCAAUAAGAUUGAAAAGUCCUGUAGCGGGGUACAUCAAAUCGAAAAUGAAAUAAGCAACGAUGAUCACAAGGCACAGAAAAGAAAUUGCGGCAAUCAAAAGGUGAAAAAAAAAAACAAUAAUAUUACACAGAAAAGAAAUUGCGGCAAUCAAAAGGUGGCAACGAUGAUCACAAGGCACAGAAAAGAAAUUGCGGCAAUCAAAAGGUGAAAAAAAAAAACAAUAAUAUUACACUUUUAUUUAUACAAAAUAUUUUAUAUCUUUGUCACCAGUCAAUGAAUUUAUAUUUUAAUUUCAUAUUUAGGUACAUCUUUUUUUGUUUAUUCAAAUGCAUUAUUGUAAUUAGAUUAUAAUCUAUUUAUAUAUGUUAUUCUUUUGUUUUGGUUUUGGUUCUGUACAGGAUGCUUUGGAGUGGAUCUUAAUGAUCGCCAGCUUUCUCCUAGAACUUCCAUCUGCUUUUCUUGAUCAACUUGCUUCUGUGCAUAAACCCCAAUAUGCACUUUGUGGUAUUCUAAUUUCAGUUGCAGCAUUGCUUAUAUGCGUUGUUGAGCUAAUUUUUAAAGCCAGAAAAGAAAAAGUUGCAUGGAAAUGGAGAGGAAGAUUAUUGCCUUGCUUUUAUCCACGACACAAUCAGAAGCUUUUUGAUACCUUCAAGGACAAUAUUAUUGGCGGGGUUGUUGCUUUCUGCCAAGUCAUUAUCAUAACAAUUAACUAUGCUUUUUUGAGACAAGGUGCGGGUAAGCCUAUUCAAGUAUGUGUGUGGCCUAUCAUAUUCAGCUUGGGUCAAAUAUGCUCCAAAAUUUUAUAGAGCUUAGAAACGGGUCAUUUCGUGGGGAUGAGAUUCUUCAAGACGUAUUGUGCUUGGUGGAUACACUAAAUAUUCUGGUGGAUUAUAAUUGGGGUUCGGCUACGGUGCAAUUGUGGUACCGUGCCACUGUUGCAUCUAGCUGUUGGAUGCACUUGAAUGGCUAGGGUCUAUGGACAUUCAACGGCUGGAUGCAACUGUGGUACGGUACCACAAGUUUUCCCUUAUAAUUGUACUGUAAUAGUCCAUAGAUAAAAAGGUCGUGUUACUUUUGGUGCUUGAGAUAUUUGUGCUUUGAUUAUGGCAACGAGUUACACGCUUCAUUGAAAAGUAGCAUACGAAAAAUACGUUUUCUUUACAAAAUUUUCCAUCUACGUCAAGUAGACCUUUUAUCCAUCCACAUAUAAUGAAGAGGCUUUGGCAUCAUUAUAUCAAUUAAUUUACAUUCCCCAAUAACUCAAAUGACUUUUGGUUGACUAUUUCUGCUAGUAUCCAGGAACAUAUAUAGUUUGAAAGAAAUGAUGAAAUUCAUCUUAUUGAUUCAAAGUUUAGAAAGCUUCGGCGCUCAAUUUCUACAUGAAAAUAAAAUAUAGAAAGAAAAGAAUCAUGUAAAUUUUUUUGGCUAAAACAGUAAAAAAUUAUAUAAAAUAAUAUUGUUGGGACAUAAAAAAUUACUACUUCAGGGUAGUUAUUUAUUCAUCAAUAAAUGAGUGUUUACUGAUUUUGAAAUACAUUUUUGUUUUGUUUUGAGAAGAGUUUUAUUGGUAUUAUUUGCAUAUAAGACAUUGCUAAGUUACAGCCAGUUGUAACUUACACCCCAUUUUAAAAACAUGUAAAAAAUAAGAUCCACAUAAUUUUUAUAUAGGGUGUAAGUUACAGCUGACUAUAACUAGGUAAGGCCCUAAAUAUAAAAGAGUAUCAAAGUCAAUAAACUUUUUCAAUCUUGUAAGAUCGAGUUAGAUGAAGGUAAGACUAUUGAACAAGUUAGUAAAUAUGAAGGUAUACAUAAAUUGCAUGAAGUUAUUUGUGGUCUCCACUAUAGAAAUGCAAUAGAUAUUGAGCAACUUUUCAAUUAUCCUAGUGAAAAUGAUGUAGUGAUGGAAUCACCUACUGAUGAAGAGAUUAUUUGAGGAAUAAUAUAUACCUCUGUUUAUGACGAUCAUUAUCCAGAUGAUGGUUGUAUUUUAUUAGGUUUUUCCACAAAAGAGGCCUUUCAAGUAAUAAUAUGUGUAAAGAACUACUCUAUACAACAUGAAAAUAAUAUACUAAAUGUAAUGCAUGCUCCGCAAAAAAUAAAUAUAAUCACAUAUAUAUUUUAAAAUAAUUUUAAUAUCUAAAAAAUAUUUUAUUUACAAUCUAUUAGAUAGAUUUUAUUAUAUUAAAGUAAAUUUUAUAAUAAAUAGAAUCAUAAUAUUAAAAUAAAUGUAUUAAAAUUUAAAUUAUUUUGAAUAUNNNNUCUAAAUGUAGCUUUAAAAAAUUUCAAAGAAAUCUGCUGUACCGUACAUCCGCCUUGGCCGUACAGCAGCAUAUUGUUAGUCUAUUGCAUAGAUUACAUUAUUUAUUUUAAUAUAAAAUAUGAAAAUAUUGUUAGUCUAUUACAUUAUAUUUUAAUAUAAAAUAUUAUUAAAAAUCCUACAAUAAUAAGUUUAACAUUAUUAUUCUAGGCAUUGUUUAAAUGAUAAUGCAGUUAAUCUUCUGAAAAUAAGAAUAGCAAAGGUGAGCAAAAAGAGCGACCUGGGAGCAAUUACGAAGAUAAAGAAAAGAAAUAGGGAAUUAUGUGCUAGGCAUUAAAGAAGGAAAUGUGGUACAUCUUUAUUGUUGCUGCCUAUGCUUGAAUCUCUUUCUUUCACAUGUGCACACAUACUUUUUUUUUUUUUUUUUUAAGUUGCCAAUAAAAGAAAUUACUGCGAUUUUUUUUAAUAUUUCGUUUGAUUAGCUGUUGUACUAUGGAUACUACAGAAUGCAUUUCAUUGUUUUUUUAAAAAGUAAUACUAACUUUCAUUCAAAGUUUGAAAGAGUUGAAUACAUUCAUAAUUUCGAUUGGAAAAGAACCCAAUCAAACAACAGUUUCUAAGUGAUCAAAAACUAAUCUAGCCAAUGAGUGGGCAAUCGCAUUACAAGAUCUUGGUGUAUAAUGACAUUUAACCUUGCGGAGAUCCUUAAGCUUGUUUUGAAUCUCUGAAAUGACCCAGUAAAUCUCAUUCUUACUGCCCUUUCUGUUGUUAAUUAAAUCAGCCACCAUUUGAGAAUCAGUUUCAAUAAUUAAAGAGGAUAACCCUGCAUCCACAGCUGCUUGUAAACCCCAUCUGACUG